rnacentral:lncRNA from 1 species
GGAGGUUGGGCCAGAGAGAGGAGAGAGGUGCUUUUCAGAAGGGCAGAGAGAGAUAUGUUUUGGGUGCUGGGAAGCUUGAGAGAAGAAAGGAAGCAAGGUUAGCCAAAGAAGAGGAGAUUGAGUUUUUACAGAAGGAGAUUUUUUAUUUUUUUUUUGGGAAGGAGUUUUGAACCAUGAGUGCAGGGGACCGUAUUCUGUAGAGGGUUACAGAGAGGUUUUUGUUUGGUUUGGAGGGAAAGCUACCGGAGGGGGGGGAGCUCUUUCUGGCGAGGCUACUAGUUACAGGAAAGGAUAAACUCGGCAGUCUCCUUGCUCAUUUCAGCUGGAGGGGAGCCUUUCAGGUGCGUUUUCUGGACCACAUACUUAUUGCAGUUGAUUUUCUUGAUAUUGUUGUGAUUAUGUUAUAAAUAAUUUGUGCCUUGUUCUUCAUAUAAAAUUUAUUUAAGAGUGAUCCGAUUCCUUUUUAUCUCUCCAUUGGGUGUCUGAGUCAUAUCUUUGGGUCCUAUUUCCACUGAUUUUCCCACCUAUACAUGAGCCUAUUGACUCCAAUAUGAAAUGGAGCUCGGGUCGGUGUUUUCUUUGGUUCAGUUGAUACUCUGUUUUUGUGAUUGCUCUCUUGUUGUUUAUACUUUGUUUUCGAUGGCCAUUCAUACCCUCAAGGAGAAGGGUUUUGGUCCAGCAUGAGCCUUUGGUUUCAUAUGGGCAUAGUUUCUAAAGCUUGAGACCAGAAGACACUUCGUAGGCUAGCUCAGAAUCGAGAGGCUGCAAGGAAGAGUCGGCUGAGGAAGAAAGCUUUGGUUCUGGAUAGGCAUAUGUCCAGCAGCUGGAGUGUAGCUAACCCAAGCUUACACAAUUAGAGCAAGAGCUUCGACGAGCACACCAACAGGGUGUUUUUAUUUCGAUUGGAUUUUCUGGGGAUCAGAGUCAUUCCAUGGGCGGAAAUGAGGCUUUAGCAUUUGACAUGGGUUAUGCUCGCUGGCUUGAUGAAUAUCAGCGGCUAAUCAAUGACCUGAGAUCAGUUGUAAAUUCUUAUGUAGGGGAUAAUGAACUACACAUUCUUGUCGAUAGCAACAUGGCCACCUACAAUGCAUGGAGCUAUGAUGAGCAUCUCAUUCGAGUAGUUAUUUGCUGUGGCCUGUAUCCUAGAAUUUGCUCUGUUGUGCAAAAUGGAAAGUCAUUCUCAUUGAAAACAAUGGAGGAUGGUCAAGUGCUCUGGCAUUCGAAUUCAGUCAAUACUCGAGAAUGUAAAAUUCCAUAUCCAUGGCUAGUUUUCAAUGAGAAGAUAAAAGUAAACUCUGUUUUCUCCGAGAUUCAACAGCUGUGUUUGAUUCAGUGCUUCUUCUAUUUGGGGGCGACAUCUUGAGAGGGGAUGGUGAUGGGCACUUGAAAAUGUUGGGGGGGGAGGGGGGGUGGUACUUGGAAUUCUUCAUGAAACCUAAUACAUCAGAAAUGUACCAAAGCUUAAGGAGAUAACUUGAUGAGCUUAAUUCAGAAUAAACUACUAAAUCCCAGAAUGGGCAUACACAUGCAUCAUGAGCUCCUUUCUGCAGUGCAGCCAAAAUGAAAGAUGAAUUGUUCAAACCCAGCUCAUGAAGAACUGAUGUGGCACACUCCUUGUCCUUCAGGGUCCCAUCUUUCAUUAUUUCAACCAGAGUUACAAUGAACGAUAACCUUCCAGCUUCAGUCCGCCCUUCAGGAUGUGAUACUAAAGGCAAUAAAAUUGAGAGAGCUUCAUCGAUCACUCCCAGGUUUUUAUCCUCGAGCAGAUGAAGUAAUGCUGGUAUGAUACCUGCCUUGAUGGCUCGCGACUUAUUGGAUUGGUUGAGUGACAGGUUAAACAAGGCAGUGCCUGCAUCCUCCUCUAUCCUUCAUGCUCACAACCCCACCACAUAUCUAUUAAACCCAUCCUUUAUUCCACCAAUCUCAUACCCAUUUUUCACUGCCCACUUCUUCACCCACAUUCCCAUUCUUCAAAUAUCCAUUAUUCCACCCUUCCCACUAUCUAUUCUACCCAUGACGCCCAUUUCCUCCAUCCAUCAAACCCAUCGCUUCACACCCACCGAACCCUAUGCAUAUUCACCCUCAAUGUUCUCUACACCUUUAUCAUCUUCCCAAACUCACAUACCCAUCACUAAGCCAACCUAAUAAUUCUUCAUCUGUCAUCCCACAGCCGGCAGCUCGUUUCACCAUUCUGCCCAUUCUAAUAACCUCAUCAUGCCUCUUCAUAUCCAUCACCAUCCGUAUUUCUAUUUUUUUAAUACCCAUCAAACCACUUUUCUCACUACAUUUUCACCACCCGUCCUACCAAUAAUACUCCCACCAUUCCUGCUCCAACAUAUCUAUCCUCAUGCACAUACCCAUAACCCUGCACUCAUCAUUACCGUCCAUCAUCCAUUCAAUCACACCCUUUAUAUCCCCCAGAACUCAUCUUUCAUACCCAUUGAAUUUGAAUACCCUCACUCAUACUUUCAACCACUCAAUCCCAUUAUAUUCCGAAUCGCAGAUCAGGAUAUAAUUCUAUUCCUCAAGAUUUUUGCUCGUUGUGACCCUACAACGCGUGAAGAAACGAUGCAUGCAAUCUGUGCACUAGCUCACGUGAUUGGCUCAAAGUUUGGGACAUUGGGAUAUGAUGCUCAUUGCCAAUCCCUUAAAGGUUACUGCUGUUAGUUUCAUUUACUGAAGAAGAAAUCAGGUUAUUGCUAAGCCCGCAUGCAAGCUUAUUCCUGAUCUCAGCGUCUUCAACAUUUGAAUGGCUUUACACUGAAGGGUGGAAGUGAGGAGCUAAAAACGAGAGAGCUGUAGUGUGGCAGGGGAUCGAGAUAGAACAAGAGAAGCAUGGAAGAGGGGAAGAAUCAUUGGGGGCCUACACCCUUUGUUGGGAGGAAUGCAAUAAAAAAAAAUUGAUGUGGCUUCACUAGCAUCAAAACAGCCUAUUCUUAUAUGAUGAGGUAAUCUUAUAUGAAGAUGAAUUGGCUGAUAGUGGAGUGUCACUUUUAACUGUGAAAGUGAGGGUCAUGCCAACUUGUUGGUUUCUUCUCUUGCGUUUCUGGUUUAGAGUCGAUGGAGUGCUUAUGAGAUUGAGGGACACUCGCAUGCAUUGCAUUUUUAAGGAUGAUGCAAACCCCAUCAUUCUUCGGAAAGCUGCUGGAGAGAAGCUACAUUCCAAGCUUUAUCUGCAAAAGGAUAUCCUUCUGAUUCUACUGCAUAUAAUGAUCCAAGCACCAACAGCCAGAGGCUUCCCAUCAUCAUGCAUAAGACCCAAAAGCUUAAGGUGAAGUAACUGAUCUUAUGCUGCAGAAUGCUGUUUCAAGAAAGAUUAUGAUUUGCAUUAUUGAAAAGAGCAUUGAGGAUGGAUUUUCAUAAAGAGUUGGAGUUGCGUAGGAAGGAGAUGCUAGAGAGAAUUCAGGCAAAUAUUGUAUAAAUACGACGCGGGGAUGAUGAAGACACUGAUGCUUCAGACAAGGACUACAGUGGUUGAUGCAGCAGUUGAAGAUUGGACAAAGGAUUAUAACAUCUGAACCUCACUGAAGUUGCCAUAGAUAAAUGGCCCCCUUCUAUUAGUUCAAACAGAGAUUACCUUCUGUGUUUUUUUCUAAGAGUUAACAGAUUUUAUGGAGUGCAAUAGGGGCAAGCCACAACCUCCUUUUGAUUAGAUAAAGCCUGCUCUUCCAGCUCUUGGGCGUCUUAUUCACUCGAAGAAUGAUGAAGAUGUGCUAACUGAUGCAUGUUGGGCACUGUCUUACCUUUCUGAUGGUACAAAUGACAAAGUUCAAGCUGUUAUUGAAGCGGGUGUAUGUCCUAGGGUUGUUGAGCUUUUACUUUACUCAUCUCCUUCUGUUCUCAUUCCUGCACUUCACAUGGUUGGAAACAUUGUCACUGGAGAUGAUAUGCAAACCCAGUGCAUAAUCAACCAUCAGGCACUUCUUUGCCUUCUGAACCCGUUGACCAAUAACCAUAAGAAGAGCAUCAAGAAGGAAGCUUGUUGGACUAUUUCAAAUAGAGCAGAUUCAGGCUGUAAUUGAGGCAAACAUAAUUGGUCCCCUUUGUUCAUUUGCUUCAAAAUGCUGAAGACAAAUCGUGAUUGGGUUGCCUCUACGUUAAAGUUAGCAUGGAUGGUGCUCCAUACCUGAGGAACACCUCAAAACCUAUUGCAAUUAUGUGGAACUCUCAUCGGCUCUGGAGAAGAUGUUCAGCUGCUUUCCAAUUGGGCAGUGUGGUUCUCAUGGACUUCUAUGGCACGAUGGGCUGACUGAGAGUCACUUAAUGGAUAUUCUUCAUGGUUCUGAAUAUAUGCUAACAUAUGAGGAUAAGAAUGGAAACAAGUGGAUGUUUCAUUUCUCAAGCUCUCCAUCUUCGCUUCUAAAAAUUGAUUUUCAAAAAUUUGAUUUUCAAGUAGUUUUCUUUUACUCCUUAACCUUUUCAUUAUUUUAUUCUCUUUUAUUAUUUCAUUUUAUUAUUUUAUUUUAUUUUAUUUUUUUACUUUUUAUUUCCCUUUUUUUUUCUUAAUAAUCUUAAAGUCAAUAAAAUCCCUUUUUAAUAAAAUUUGCUUCCACUUCCUAUUCAGCAAGCAAUUUUAAUAUCUUUCUUGGUCUUUUAAAAUGUUUUAAAAUAAGUAUGAAUUUAUUCCUAUAAUUUCAAAUGAUGGAAUUUAUGGGAUUGACUCAUACAAUAUAAAAUCGGCUUUGGUGGGGGUCAACAUAUGUGAUUUUAUGAUUGACUGAUUGACUGGUUGAUUGCUAUAUUUGUUUGAUUUAUUAUGCUCUAUGACAUGCAUGAGAUUAUUCCUUAAUUCUGCACUAACCCCCUCUCUUGAUAGCGUAUAAUGGCUCAUUGCCCAGGUAUGCACCCAUUCUCACUCUGGUCAUUCUAUAUGCAUGUAUUGAUUCUCACACGUGCAUGAUCAUUUUGAGUAUCCAUUGAUUUUCUUAUUGAUUGUCACAUCAGUUUCAUUUUAUUAGUAGAGACCCGACUUUAGGGACUUAGAGGGGUGCUACGGUCUUUACCGUACCUUCCCAAUAAGUAACCUGACCCUCGAACCCGAUCCCGUUUUUCAUAGACCACAUUUUCCAAAUAAGGAGUCACACUUAGGGUUUUCUUUCUUAUUUUGUUUACCCUUUUAAAAAUAAAACAAAAAUAAGUGGCGACUCCAAGACAUUUUCAUAAUCAAUAAAUCAUUUUUCAAAUAAAAAUCAAGCUUGCCAUCGAGUGGAAGCGCAUGAGCCGAAAUGCGGGGUCCACACAUUAGUUUGGUUAUUCUUUUUGAUCUCAUACUUAGUUUAGUUUAUAAAAAUUGUUAGUUUGGUUGCAUUGUUGAUUUUAUACUUGGUUUAGUUUCUUUUAAAUAUCAUUAGUUGUGGUUAUUCCAUUAAUCAUAUGUUUAGCUUAGUUUUUAAAAAAUUAUUAAUUUGGUUGCUUUGUUGAUGCUAUGCUUAGUUUAUUUAUUUUUAAAAAUCAUUAGUUUGGUUAUUCUUUUAAUCUCAUGGUUAGUUUAGUUUUGAAAAUAUAUUUGUUUGGUUUGUUUGUUGAUAUUACGAUUAAUUUAGUUUUUUUAAAUAAAUAAAAAAUCAUUAGUUUGGUUAUUUUUUUUAUCUUAUGUUUGGUAUAGUUUUUUAAAAUUAUUAGUUUUGUUACUUUGUUGAUAUUAUGUUUAGUUUAGUUUCUUUUAAAAACCAUUAGUUUAGUUAUUCAGUUGAUCUCAUAUUUAGUUUAGGUUUCAAAAAUUAUUGGUUUGGUUGCUUUGUUGAUAUUAUACUUAGUUUAAUUCUCUUAAAAAUCAUUAGUUUAGUUAUUCAGUUGAUCUUAUAUUUAGUCUAGAUUUCAAAAAUUAUUAGUUUGAUUGCUUUGUUGAUAUUAUGCUUGGUUUAAUUCUCUUAAAAAUCAUUAGUUUAGUUAUUCAAUUGAUCUCAUAUUUAGUUUUGGUUUAAAAAAUUAUUAGUUUGGUUGCUUUGUUGAUAUCAUACUUCAGUUAAUUUCUUUUAAAAAUCAUUUGUUUGAUUAUUAUGUUGAUCUCAUGUUUAACGCAAUUUUUAAGCAUUACUAGUUUUGUUGCUUUGUUAAUUUUAUGCUUGGUUUAAUUCUUUUAAAAAUCAUUAGUUUGGUCAUUCUGUUAAUUUAAUAUUUAGUUUAGUUUUAAAAAAAAUAUUAGUUUGGUUUCUUUCUUAUUGUGCUUAGUUUAGUUUCUUUUAAAAAUCAUUAGUUUGGUCAUUCUGUUAAUUUAAUAUUUAGUUUAGUUUUAAAAAAAAUAUUAGUUUGGUUUCUUUCUUAUUGUGCUUAGUUUAGUUUCUUUUAAAAAUCAUUAGUUUGGUUGUUCAAUUGAUCACAUAUUUAUUUUAAUUUUCAAAGAUUAUUAGUUUGGUUGCUUUGUUUAUAUUAUUAUAGACCCUUGAUUUUGUCCCCUAACCACAUUCCUUAGUGCUCUUUUAGUUCUCCAUAAUAGUUCCUUUGUGGCCCAUUGAUACAACUUAUCUUUUUGAGACACCAUAAAGACUCUGGUCGAGGGAUUAAUCUAGCCUCUCAUUAUGAUCCUUGGCAACUGUAAGUUAGAUGUAGGAUUUUCCUUUUAUCUUUUUAGAAUAGCUCAUUUAGGUACACUUUUAGGUCACUUAGGCACUUUUCUGAUCACCUUAGGUCACUUAGGCAUCUUUCAAGCUCACUUAGGUUCAUUUAGGCACACCUAAUCCAUUAGGCACCAUCCUAGGCCCAUCAAAGCUCCCUUAGGCCCACUUAGGCUCACCUUGACUCAUUUAAAUUAACCUAUACCCACUUAGGUUCACCUAGGCCCACUCUAGUUCACAUAGUCCUGUUUUGGUUCAUCUAGGCCAACUUAGGGACACCUAGCCCACCUAGGCCUACCUAGGCACACCUAGCCCACUCAGGUUCACUCGGCCCACUUAGGUUCCUCUAAGCCACUUAGAUUUACUUAGACCCACUUAGGUUCACCCAAACCCCACCUUAAGUACAUUUAGGUCAUUUUUUAGGUAAUUCUUACAUGAUUGCAUGUUCUUGUUUUUUUUUUUUUUUGUUUAUUAUUUAUUUAUUUAUUUUAGGAAAUUGUUUGUGGUUAAUGAUUUUAAGUCUCUUUAAGUUGAAUGAAAUAAUAUUCCAUUCUUCUCAAAAUUGCAUGUGAUUGACUUUUAAUUUUUUUAAUCACAUAAUUUUAAUAUUUUUAAUUUUCAAUUUCGUGAUUUUUAUUGAUUCUAACCCUCAUUCUUUUUUGGUUUGUUUUGCAUGGGAUUUUGAGUACCCCAUCCAUAUUGAAGGAAGAUAUUCACAAGAUUUUUUGUUUUUUGUUUUUUUGUUUUGGAAGUAUGGAGCAAUGUUCUGGAAAGAAAAAUCAAGUUCAUUUUAGGGGAAAGAUUCGGUAUGUUUUUUAGAUGGAACGAUGGUUGGUCAAAGGGAGGACUUUUGGAGCAUGUUUUGGGAAGGAGUUGGGUUCACAUUCUGGAGGAUUCUAAGCACAUUUUGGCGGAAUUUCGAGGGCUAAGCCAUGGAUAAGGAAGGUUAAGCAUUUUUUGGAAAGAGGGAUUGCUACGUUUUGGAGAAGAAUGGGGGGGGUAGCAACACCAAAAAUCUCAAGGACAACUUAUCCAUUGGGCUUUGGGGAGAAGUUAUAUCCUCUUCAAGAACAAUAGCCAAGGGCAACUCAGAAAGUAAAAGCCUACACAUAGUCCACUACGGGAGGGGUUGCAAAAGUCCUCAUAUAGACGUCAUUCUCCAUAGAGAAGCACCGACACGCAGCAGCCUGAAAAGGGAGACAAUCGAUCAUGAGACUCCUUGAGAGGGUGAAUAACGAACUAUAAGAGGGGCCUUCUCUUACAUGCGAAUUCAAGUUUCUUCACAGCCACCCUCACGACUGCACAGUUUGCAUCAUGAGAGAUCCCUCUUAGCAUCACACACCAAGGAAACAUACUAUCAAUUCAGGAAGCAUCACAACACACCAUUGGAGAAGUUGGAGUCCACUAAUCAUGGUUGUAAGAGGCACGCACAAAAGAGGCAACCACACACCACAAUUUGGGCGGCAUCUCCGAUAAGAAGCAGCAGCAUGGGACUCCAUUGGAGAGAAUUCUCCACACACGGUCACAUAAAGGUUGCCAUACACAGUUGAAAAGAUAUCCAUAGGAUGUACCAUAAGAUGGUGGUUGUAGCCACACGUUGGACUUAAGAAAAGCGGUUGUCACUUUCAAUACACCAUAAGGGAGAAAAGAUUCACACACGCAACAAUGGGAAGGUAAGUUGAUUUUUUUUUUUUUAGUUUGGUUUUUUAUUAAUUAUAUAUGUUUGAAAAGUUAUUAUUUUUUAGUUUGGUUUUGAUUAAUUAUGUAUAUUUAUAUUGAAAGGUAUGAUUUUUUUUUUUUGUUUAGUUUUUAAUUCAUCAUAUUAUAUUGAAAGGUUUUAAUUUCUUUAGUUUAGUUUUUUUAGUUCAUUAUAUUAUAUUAAAAAGUUAGAAUUGUUUUUAGUUUCCUUUUUAUUUAUUGUAUCAUAUCGAAAGGUUAUAAUUUUUUUAUUAUCAUUAUAGUUCACUAGAUUAAUUGUUUUGUAGGAUAAAAUUUUUAUUUUGAAGCUUGUGCCAUGUUAGUUUAUUUCGUUUAAGUUAAUUCAAAAGUUUUAUAGUUUUAAUUAAUUAGUUUAAUUCGUUUGAUUGAUUUGAUGUCAUGAUGUUUUAUCUUACAAAGUUUGAUAAUUGUAGUACUUAAUCAUCUUGUUUUAGGUUUUGUGUUAUUAGGUUAUUUACCAUGCAAUUAAAAUUUUAUCUUGUAAAGUUGGAUAAUUUCAGUGCUUAAUCAUCUUGUUUUAGGUUUUGUGUUAUUAAAUUUUUUUCUCUAUGCUAUUUAAAGUUCUCAUUUUUAGUAAUUUGGUAGUUCUUUGGUUUAGAUUUUCUUGUUAUACAUGUCUUUGAUUGUGUUAUUAUAUUUAAAGUUCUUGUCUUUAGAAAUUUGGUAGCUAAGAGUUUUUAGAUUUUCUAGUUAUUAUGCAUGCCUUUGAUUGCAUUAUUAUAUUUAAAAUUUGCAUAUUUAGAAAUUCGGUAGUUCUUAGGUUUUAGAUUUUCUUGUUAUUAUGCAUGUCUUUGAUUGCACUAUGUUAUUAAAUUCUCAUAUUUGGAAGAUUGUUGAUUCUUAGGUCUUAAAUUUGCUUGUUAUUAUAUUUGUAAUUUGAUGAUUAUUUUUAUUGAAUGUUUCAUCCUUAGAAGAUUGGUAUUUUUUAGGUUCUAGAUCUUUUGGUUUUAUUUCAUGCUAUUAAAAAAAGUCUUGAUUUUUAUUUUUGAAAGCAUAUUGGUUUGAUGGAAUCCUUAUAUGAAAGAUUUUUUCACAACUCAUCCUUGUUGUCGGUUUCCACUCACCUAAUAACCAUUUGGAUUUAAAAUUCGUUUUGAUAAUUUAGAGUACUUUUCAAAAAAUUUCCAAAAAAUUUAUGAUAUUCAUUACUUCUUGAACUUGAUUUUGGAAUAUUAUUCGAGUAAAAAAGAUUUUCUUGAAGUCAAAAUUAUGACAAUCUCUUUCAGCAUGUUUUGUUUAGGCUUACUUCUAUACACUUGAGAGCACUUUACAAAAUUAAAUUACUUUUUGAUAUUUUGAAUUUAAAUAAAUAUUUUCCUCAAAUUUUUUACUUCUUAAAAUUGAAUUUUGAGAUAUUAUUAAAAAAAAUAUGUUCUCUUGAGAGAGAUAUGAUUUUUCAAAUUUGUGCCUACUGCACAUGACUUUUUUUGGAUAGUUGAUAAGUUUGAGUGUUUUAAAAAUACUUUCUAGGGCUCUCUAGUCUUGGAUUUAUUUAUUAUUAUUAUUUUUUUGUAAACUAAACAACUUAAAGGACAUGUAUGAUUUUUUUUUUUUUUUAUGAUUUUAGGAGACUAAUUACUACUCAAAAACCACACAUUUUAGAUAAUAAUUCUCAUGAGUUUCAUACAUUUUGAGCAGUAAUUAUGCCUAAUAUACCCAAGUAAUACAUUGCUGCUACCCUUACAAGAUAUACUAAUGGUUUUUGUGAAGUUUUGGAGAUAUUUCAAGGUGAUUUUUAAAGUAUUGAGUGACAAAAGAGAAAUGGAAUCGAGGAAGGUAAACAAUAUGGAUGAUGAGGAAGAAGCAAUGCUUGGACCAAGAUUUGGAGCUGAAUUGAAGGUGGUUGAGGUGGAUUCAAAAGAAAGAAAUGGGAGAAAUGACAAAAAGGAGUUGAAAAACUAUGUUUUUCCAUUUCGUAUGAUCAUGCGAAAGUUUCGCAUAGUUAUGCAAAAUGGACCAGAAAACAAUUUUGGCUGCAACUCAAAGGGAAAACUAAAAACUGAUUUCGCAUGACCAUGCAAAAAUUUCACACAGUCAUGCGAAAUGCUCCAGGAAUACGAAAUUGGUGUUGAUGCAUUUUCCACUUUGCACAAUCGUGCGAAAUUGUUGGAGCUUGUGUGAAAUUGCAUUUUUCCAGAUUUCUUGGUGAAGAAGCCUCUGAAAGACCUCUUGGAUGAUGCCAAGUGUCCACUUGAACUUGACCUAUAAAUAGAAACUUGAUUUACUCAUUUGGGGGACUUUUAGACAUUUUCUAAUUGUAGAACUUUCCAGAUUUUCUCUUUCUAUAGAAUUCUCUAUUUUCCUUCAUUUUCUCUCAUUUUCUCGGUAGUUUUGAGACCAAAUCUCCAAGCAUGAGUGGCUAAAUCUUGUUUUUCUCGAAGGAGCAAGAUCUAUGGUGAAUUAGAGAAAUGAGCUUGAAUUGCAAAGGUAAUUUGAUCCAAUUGAUUGAUUAAUUCAAAUCAUAUAUUCAAUUUAUCUUAAAUUAUCUUCCAAUGAUUACUACAAUGCAGACUAGUUAGAUUCAUCAAAUUCUUAAUGCUAGAUUUAAUGAGAUUAAAUAGUUGCAUUGUGUGAAUCUUUGGAAGAUAAUUUAAGAUGAAUUGAAUAUAUGAUUUGGAUUGAUCUCUUGGAUUAAAUGACCUAAUUUGAAGAGAAAUUAAAUCUAAAUCUAAAGCUAAAUCAAAAAUCAGUUUAGAUGAAAAUUUAGGUUUUUAAUCUAACUUGAUGAAAACUGGAUCUCAACAUCUAUUCACCAUGAAAAUUGUUUUCUAGAAAAUCCUAACUCCAAGAAUUUCAUUUUCUAUUAGUUUUCUUCUAUAUUUACAUUUCAUUUUCCUCUCAAUUUGAAAUCAUUGUUAGUUUGAACUUUUAUCAUGAAUUGUCAUAUCAUUUUCACUUGAUCACAACCAUUCCUUCUUCUCUCAUUCAAGCCUUGAUUACCAAGAAUAAUCCAUCGUUGUGGACAAUACCUAAAAACCAUUAUACUACAGUAGUAUGUAUUAAAACCACUUUUUGAUCAUGUACAACCUGCUAUAGAGUAGUGAAUUUGGUUAUAAAUUUUGUUUUGAUCAAUAAACGAUGAAAAAACCAAACGAUCAAAGACCUUUAAAUAUUUUUACAAAUUCAGUUUAUGCAUGUCACCAUUUUCUACCUAGUUUUGGACCUUCUGGAACUUUUGGGUGUUUUUGCUUAAAUUUGUUAUUUGAAUGAGUGUUUGAGUUUUUUAUGUUAUUCCAGAAGUGUAGGAGAUGUUUCCUGAAAAUUUAUGUAAUUAAAUUCCACUUCAAGAUUUUUUUUUAGGAUUUGUUUUAUGAUGCUUCCUGUUCUAAUUGCAUGCUAACGAUCUUACACUUUACUUAACUAUGCUAUUUUUUUGGAGUUAUUUGACUUAUCUUGGCAUGACUUUGGUUAUUGUAUCAUGAUAUAGACUAAAUUGAGAAGUUUGUCUUUAUUUUUCAUGAUCAAUUGAUGUUCCUAUAUAUUAAUUUAUAUUUUUUCUUUUGAUAAUAGUGUGCUACCUGUUUUAACCAUAACCCUUGAUUUUUUUUUCUCCUAUUUUGGGAGUUAUAUACAUGACUUGUCUAAUAAUUGGUGUUUUCUUAUACUUUGGUCAUUUCUGUUGUGAUAUUUAAAUACCAUGCAUGCUAGGAUUUCUUUUCUUUAACGUCUGUUAUUAUAACUUUGAUCUAACCUCCAAUGUCUUGUGGAAGCGCAUUGUUAUUUGGGUACGCUUCUUAUCUUUGCAUCUUAAUUCCAUUAGUUAUGUAAAGCUUCAUACAUGAUCAUUAUCAUGCUUAAUAUAUAUUUUUGAUUGCUUGUUUGACUCACCAUGUUAGAUUUCUUGACUAUGGUAAAAUACACGUGUGUGUGUGUGUGUGUUUUAAACUAAAUUUGAUAUCUUAUGACAACGCUUAAGUUGUAGCUCAAGUACGCCUAUCUUCCUUACUCAUGUGAUUGAUUACUUAGAUAUAUUUGUUUGAAUAUGAAUAACAAUCUAGCCAAUAGAGACCACUUUAAGGCUUAGAGGGGUGCUACCUCUUUGAGGUACCUUUCUGAUAGGUAACCUAAUCCUCUCUGCCCUAGACUCAGUUUUUUCAAAUACAGGGUUUUCCAAAACUUAAGGAGUCAUUUUUCUUAGGUGAGUCCAGAAAUUGGUGACCCCAUUGAGGAUUUUUGAAGAUCAAGCUUGAACACUACUUGAGGAAAAUAUGGUGUUUAAUUGGUUGAUUUAGUUUUGAACACUACUUUAGGCAAGGUGAUUCAGUUUGCUUAAUUGUUUGUGAUUUAGUUAAAGAAAAGAGAUUUUUUUUAGAAUUGAUAUUUUGAGUUAAGCUUAAUCGUUUUGUCUUGGAAACCAUUGUAGGUUCUAUUUAAGUUUAUUCUUUGGUCCUUUCGUUUCUCAUCAUUAGGACACAAUUCUAGGUUCUAUCUAACCUUAUUCGUUUGUUUUUUUGGUUUCUCAUCAUUGGCUCACAAUUCUAGGUUCUAUUUAAGUUUAUUCUUUGUUCCUUUGCUUUCUCAUCAUUGGAACUCCAUCAUAACUUCUAUAUAAGUUUAUUCUUAGUUCCAUUCAUUUAUCAUCAUUGGGACACAAUAUUAGGUACUAUCUAAGAAUAUUCAUUUUUUCCCCUUGGUUUCUUAUCAUUGGAAUGCUGUCCUAGGUUCUAUCUAAGUUUAAUUGUUUGUUCCUUUGGUUUCUCAUCUUUAGGACACCAUCCUAGGCUCUAUCUAAGUUUCUUCUUUCUUCAUUUAGUUUCUCAUCAUUAGGACACCAUCCUAGGUUUUGUCCUACUUCAUUCUUUUUCAUUUCAUUUCUCAUCAAUGGGAUACCAUUCUAGGUUCUCUCUAAGCUUAAUCAUUUGUUCCUUUGGUUUCUCAUCAAUGGGACAUCAUCCUAAGUUCUAAGUAUCUUCUUUGUUCCUUUAGUUUCUCAUCAUGGGGACACCAUCCUAGAUUCUAUCUAAGCUUAAUCAUUUGGUCCUUUGGAUUCUUUUCAUUGGGACAACAUCAUAGGUUCUAUCGAAGUUUACUCUUUGGUCCUUUUACUUCUCAUCAUUAGGACGUCAUCCUAUGUUCUAUAUAACCUUAUUUGUUUGUUCCUUUAGUUUCUCAUCAUUGGUUCACCAUCUUAGGUUCUAUCUUGGUUUAUUCUUAUGCCUUCACAUCAUUGGGACACCAUUUUAGGUUCUUUCUAAAUUUAUUCUUAAUUCCAUUGAUUUAUCAUCAUUAGGAUGCCAUCCUAGGUACUACCUAAGAUUAUUUGUUUUUUCCUAUGGUUUUUUUAUCAUUAGGACACCAUCCUUGGUUCUAUCUAAGCUUAAUUGUUUGUUCAUUUGGUUACUUAUCAUUGGGACACAUCCCUAUAUUCUAUUUCAAUUUAAAGGUUCAUUUGGUUUCUUAUCAUUGGGACACAUCCCUAGAUUCUAUUUCAAUUUAUUCUUUGUUCAUUUGGUUUCUAAUCAUUGGAAAACCAUCCUAGCUUCUAUCUCAGUUUAUUCUUUAUUUAUUUGGUUUCUCAUCAUUAGGAUGUCAUCACAGGUUCUAUCUAAACUUAAUCGUUUGUUCCUUUGGUUUCUCAUCAUUGGGACACCAUCCUAGGUUCUUCUUUGUUCCUUUGCUUUCUCAUCAUUGGAACUCCAUCAUAACUUCUAUAUAAGUUUAUUCUUAGUUCCAUUCAUUUAUCAUCAUUGGGACACAAUCUUAGGUACUAUCUAAAAAUAUUCGUUUUUUCCCCUUGGUUUCUUAUCAUUGGAAUGCCGUCCUAGGUUCUAUCUAAGUUUAAUUGUUUGUUCCUUUGGUUUCUCAUCUUUAGGACACCAUCCUAGGCUCUAAGUUUCUUUCUUCAUUUAGUUUCUCAUCAUUAGGUCACCAUCCUAGGUUUUGUCCUACUUCAUUCUUUUUCAUUUCAUUUCUCAUCAAUGGGAUACCAUUCUAGGUUCUCUCUAAGCUUAAUCAUUUGUUCCUUUGGUUUCUCAUCAAUGGGACAUCAUCCUAAGUUCUAAGUAUCUUCUUUGUUCCUUUAGUUUCUCAUCAUGGGGACACCAUCCUAGAUUCUAUCUAAGCUUAAUCAUUUGGUCCUUUGGAUUCUUUUCAUUGGGACAACAUCAUAGGUUCUAUCUAAGCUUAAUUGUUUGUUCCUUUGGUUUCUCAUCAUUGGGACACCAUCCUAGGUUCUUCUUUGUUCAUUUGGUUUCUCAUCAUUAGGACACCAUCCCAAGUUCUACCUAAGCUUAAUCGUUUGUUCCUUUGGUUUCUCAACAUUGGGACACAAUCUAAGGUUCUAUCUCAUUUUAUUUUUUGUUCAUUUCGUUUCUCCUCAUUAGGAUGCCAUCCUAGGUACUACCUAAGAUUAUUAGUUUUUUCCUCUGGUUUUUUAUCAUUAGGACACCAUCCUUGGUUCUAUCUAAGCUUAAUUGUUUGUUCAUUUGGUUUCUUAUCAUUGGGACACAUCCUUAGAUUCUAUUUCAAUUUAAAGGUUCAUUUGGUUUCUUAUCAUUGGGACACAUCCCUAGAUUCUAUUUCAAUUUAUCCUUUGUUCAUUUGGUUUCUCAUCAUUGGAAAACCAUCCUAGGUUCUAUCUCAAUUUAUUCUUUAUUUAUUUGGUUUCUCAUCAUUAGGACGUCAUCAUAGGUUCUAUCUAAACUUAAUAAUUUGUUCCUUUGGUUUCUCAUCAUUGGGACACCAUCCUAGGUUCUUCUUUGUUCAUUUGGUUUCUCAUCAUUAGGACACCAUCCCAAGUUCUACCUAAGCUUAAUUGUUUGUUCCUUUGUUUUCUCAACAUUGGGACACAAUCUAAGGUUCUAUCUCAUUUUGUUUUUUGUUCAUUUCGUUUCUCCUCAUUUGGGUGUCGUCCUAGGUUCCAUCCAAAACUUAAUCAUUUGUUCGCUUAGUUUCUCAUCAUUGGGACACCAUCCUAGGUUAUAUCUAACCUUAAUCGUUUGUUCCUUUGGUUUCUCAACAUUGGGACACAAUCUAAGGUUCUAUCUCAUUUUAUUUUUUGUUCAUUUCGUUUCUCCUCAUUUGGGUGUCGUCCUAGGUUCUAUCCAAAACUUAAUCAUUUGUUCGCUUAGUUUCUCAUCAUUGGGACACCAUCCUAGGUUCUAUCUAACCUUAAUCGUUUGUUCCUUUGGUUUCUCAUCAUAUGGACACCAUCCUAGGUUCUACUCUUAAUUUAUUCUUCAUUCCUUUGGUUUCUCAUAAUUGGAAUGUCAUCCUAUAUUCCAUCUAACCUUAAUUGUUUAUUCCUUCGCUUUUGCAUCAAUGCGACACCAUCCUAAGUUCGAUCUCAAUUUCUUCUUUGUUCAUUUGGUUUCUCAUCAUUAAGACGUCAUUCUAGGUUAUGUCUAAGCUUAAUUGAUUGUUCCUUUGGUUUCUCGACAUUGGGAAACAAUCCAAGGUUCAAUCUUAUUUUAUUCUUUGUUCAUUUCAUUUCUCAUCAUUAGGACAUCAUCCUAGGUUCCAUCUAAGCUUAAUCGUUUGUUCGUUUAGUUUCUCAUCAUUGGGACACCAUCCUAGGUUCUAUCUAAGCUUAAUAGUUUGUUCCUUUGUUUCUCAUCAUUAGGAUGCCAUCCUAUGUUCUAUCUAACCUUAAUCGUUUCUUCCUUUGCUUUCGCAUCGAUGAGACCCCAUCCUAGGUAUUAUCUCAGUUUAUUCAUUAUUCAUUUGGAUUCUCAUCAUUUGAACACAAUUCUAGGACCUUUCCAAACCUAAUCAUUUCUUUCUUUUGUUUCUUAUUAAUUGGGACACAACCCUAGGUUCUAUCUCAGUUUCCUCUUUGUUCCUUUGGUUUCUCAUCAUUGGGACACCAUCCUAGGUUCUUCAUUUAUCCUUUGUUCCUUGGGUUUCUCAUCAUUUGGAUGCCAUCCUAUGUUCUAUCUAACCAUAAUCGCUUCUUCCUUUGCUUUCGCAUUAAUGCGACACCAUUAUGGGUUCUGUCUUAGUUUAUUCUUUAUUCCUUUGGUUUCUCAUCAUUGGGAUGCUAUCCAAGGUUCUGUUUAAAUUUAAUCGUUUAUUCCUUUGGUUUCUCCUCAUUGGGAAACAAUCCUAGGUUCAAUCUCAUUUUAUUCUUUGUUCAUUUCGUUCACCAUCAUUGGGAUGCCAUCCUAGGUCUUUCUAAGCUUAAUCGUUUGUUCAUUUUGGUUUCUCAUCAUUGGGACACCAUCCUAGGUUUUAUGUAAGCUUAAUUGUUUGUUCCUUUGGUUUCUCAUCACUAGGACAGCAUCCUAAGUUCUAAGUUUCUUCUUAUUUCCUUUGGUUUGUCAAAAUGCGGACGCCAUCCUAGGUUCUAUGUUAGUUUAUUCUUUGUUCAUUUUGUUUCUAUGGAAUGCCAUCCUAGAUUCUAUGUAAGUUUAAUUGUUUGAUCAUUUCGAUUCUUGUCAUUGGGACACAAUCGUAGCUUCUAUCUAAGUUUAUUCUUUGGUCCUUUCAUUUUUCAUCAUUAGGACGCCAUCCAAGGUUCUAUCUAACCUUAUUCGUUUGUUCCUUUGGUUUCUCAUCAUUGGGUCGCCAACCUAGCUUCUAUCUUUGUUUAUUCUCAAUUCAUUUGCUUUCUCAUCAUUGGGGCACCAUUUUAGGUUUUAUCUAUUUUUAUGUUUAUUUCCAUUGAUUUAUAAUCAUCGAGACUCCAUUCUUGGUACUACAUAAGAUUAUUCAUUUUUUUCCUUUGUUUUCUGAUCGUUGGAAUGUCAUCCAAGGUUCUAUCUAAGCUUAAUUUGGACGCCAAAGUAGCAAAGAAUAAAAUAAGAUAGAACCUAGGUCGGCCUUCCAAAAACGAGAAACCAAAGGACCAAAUAAGUAAGUUUAGAUUGAACCUAGCAUAGCAUCCCAUGGAUGAGAAACAAAAGGAACAAAGAAUAAACUGAGAUAGAACCUAGGAUGGCGUCCCAAUGAUGAGAAACCAAAGCAACGAAAAAUGUUUAGAUAGAACCUAGUUAUGCAUUCCAAUGACGAGAAACGAAAUGAACAAAUAAUAAACAAAGAUAGAAGCUCUGAUGGUGUCCAAAUAAUGAUAAACAAAAGUAACAAAGAGGAAACUUAGAUAGAACCUAAAUGUGAUGAUGAGAAAUUAAGGAGGAAAUAAGAAACUUAGAUUUGACUCAGAUGCAGUCCUAUUGAUGAGAAACGAAAGGAACUAACGUUUAAACUUAGAUAACGUAGGAUGGGGUCCCAAUAAUAGGAAAACAACUCAACAAAGAAUAAAUUUAGAUAGAACCUAUGAUAGUGUCCCAAUGAUGACAAACCAAAGGAGCAAACAUCAAACUUAAAUCAAACCUAUGAUGGUGUUCCAAUGUUCAAAAACGGAAGGAAGAAACGAUUAAGGUUAGAUAAAAUCUAGGAUGGCAUCCCAAUGAAGAGAAACCAAAUAAAGAAAGAAAAAACUAAGAUAAAACCUAGGAUGGUGUAGCAAAGAUGAGAAACUAAAGGAAAAAAGAAGAGACAAACUAAAGAAAGAAAAAACUAAGAUAGAACAUAGGAUGGUGUCCCAAUGACGAGAAACAAUGAAAAACCUAGGAGGGUGUCGCAAUGAUAAGCAACCAAACAAACAAAAUAUUAAGCUUAUAUUGAACCUAUGAUGUCUUUCAAAUGAUAUAUGAAACCAAAUGAACAAAGAAAAAACUUCGGACAGAGUCCCAAUGAUUAGAAACAAACAUAACAAAAAAGAUACUUAGAACCUAGAAUGACAUCCCAAUAAUUAGAACCAAAUCAACAAAUAAUAAACUGAGAAUGAACAUAGGAUUGUGUCAGAAUGAUUAGAAAGCAAAGAAACAAACGCUUAAGCUUAAAUAGAACCUAGGAUAGCUUUCCACAGAUCAAAAACCAAAUGAACAAAGAAUAAACUGAGAUAGAAACCAGAAUGGUUUCCCAAUGAUGAGAAACAAAUGAAAUAAAGAAACUUAGAUACAUCUUAGGAUGGUGUCCCAAUGAUGAAAAACCAAAUGAUCAAAGAAUAAAUCGAGAUAUAACCUAUGAUGGUGUCCCAAAUGACAAGAAAACAAAGGAGCAUACGAUUAGGUGCAGAAAGAACCUAGGAUGGAGUCCCAACGAUGACAAACCAAUGGAAAAAACAAUUAAGUUGAAAUAAAACCUAGGAUAGUGUUCCACUGAUCAGAAACCAAAUGAGCAAAGAAUAAACAGAAACGGAAAGUAAAAUGAUGUCCCAAUUAUGAGAAUCGAAAGUAACAAAUAAGAAACUUGGAUACAACUUAGGACGGUACCCAAUGCUAAGAACCCAAAUAAACAAAAAUGAAUUGAGAUAGAACCUAAGAUGGUGUCCCAAUGAUAGGAAACCAAAGGACAAAUUGAUUAAAUUAAGAAAGAACCUAGGAAGGCAUCCCAAUAUUGAGAAAUCAAAGGAACAAACGACUAUGUUUAGAUAGAACCUAGUUACACAUCCCAGUGAUGAUAAACAAAAUGAACAAAGAAUAAACAAAGAUAGAACCUAUGAUGGUGUCCCAAUGAUGAGAAAUAAAGUAACAAAGAAGAAACUUAGAUAAAACAUGGGAACCAAUCCCAAGGAAGAAAAAAGAAACUUAGAUUCAGCCUAAGAUGAGUAACAAAAGGAACUAACACUUAAGCUAAGAUAGAACCAAGGAUGGGGUCCCAAUCAUAAUAGAACCUAGGAUAGUGUCCCAGUGAUUUGAAACCAAAGGAACAAACAUCAAACUUAAAUCAAACCUAUGAUCGUGUCCCAAUGUUGAGAAAGUAAAGGAACAAACAAUUAAGGAUAAUUAGAAACUAGAAUGGUGUCCCAAUGAUGAGAAACAAAAAAGAAACUCAUAUAGAACUUAGGAUGACGUCCAAAUAAUUAAAAACUAGAUGAACAAAGAAUAAAUUGAGAAAGAGCCUAAGAUGAUGUCCCAAUGAUGAGAAACCUAAGGAACAAACGAUUAAGCUUAGAGAGAACCUUGGAUAGCGUUCCAUUGAUCAGAAACCAAAUGAAUAAAGACUAAACUGAUAUAGAAACUAGAAUGGUGUCCUAAUGAUAAAAAAACAAAAGUAGUAAAGAAGAAACAUGGAUACAACCUAGAAUGGUGUUCCAAUGAUGAGAAACCAAAUGAACAAAGAAUAAACUGAGAUAAAAUAUUGGAUGGUGUCCCAAUGACAAGAAACCAAAUGAACAAACAAUUAUCUUUAGAUAGAACCUAGUUUUGCACCCCAAUAAUGAGAGACGAAAUGAAUAAAGAAUAACUUGUGAUAAAACAUAUGAUGGUGUCCCAAUGAUUAGAAACCAAAGGAACAAAGAAGAAACUUCGAUUCACCCUACGAUGCAGUCCUAUUGAUGAGAACGAAAGGAACUAACGUUUUAGCUUUAGAUAGAACUUAGGAUGGCAUCCCAAUAAUGUGAAAGUAAAUAAAAAAUGAAUAAUAUUAGAUGGAACUUAGGACAUUGUCCCAAAUAUGAGAAACCAAAGGAAUAAGCAUCAAACUAAAAUCAAACCAAUGAUGGUGUCCUAAUAUUAAGUAAUUGAAGAAACAAAUGAUGAAGGUUAGAUAGAACCAAGGAUGACGCCCCAAUGACGAAAAACCAAACAAAGAAAUAAUAAACUAAGAUAGAACAUAGGAUGCUAUCCCAAUGAUGAGAAACCAAAGGAACAAAGAAGAAACCUAAAUAGAAGCAAGGAGGGUGUCACAAUGAUGAGAAACCAAACGAACAAACAAUUAAACUAAUAAAAAACAUAGGAUGAGAAACCAAUGGAACAAACGAUUAAGCUUAAAUAGAAUCUAGGAUAGCAUUCCACUUAUUAGAUAGAACCUAGCUUUGCCUCCGAAUGAUUUGAAAUGAAAUAAACUGAGGUACAACCUAUGAUGUUGUCCCAAUGAUGAAAAACAAAAGUAACAAAGAAGAAACUUAAAUUAAACCUAGGAUGAUCUCCCAAUGUUCAGAAAUUGAGGGAGCAGAGGAUCAAAGUUUGAUAGAACCUAGGAUGGUGUCCCAAUGAUGAGAAACUAGAUGAAAAAAGAAAAAAAGCUGAGAUAGAACUUAGGAUGGUUUGCCAAUUAUGAGAAACUAAAGGAAAAGGAGAGAAAAACAUAUAGAAAUUAGGUUGGUGUCCAAAUGAUAAGAAACCAAUGGAACAAACGAUCAAGUUUAAAUAGAACCUAGGAUAGCGUUCAACUGAUCAAAGAAUAAAUGAAAUAGAAACUAGAAUGGGGUCCCAAUGAUGAGAAACUUCGAUACAACGGAGGAUGGUGUCCCAAUGAUGAGAAACCAAAUGAAUAGAGAAUCAAUUGAGUUAGAACCUUGGAUGGUGUCCCAAUGAUAAGAAACCAAUGGAACAAAAGAUUAUGUUUAGAUAGAACCUAGUUUUUCCUCCAAAAGAUGAGAAACAAAAUGAACAAAGAAUAAGCUGAGGUAGAACUUAUGAUGUUGUCCCGAUGAUAACAAAAGUAAUAAAGAAGAAACUUACAUAGAACCUGUGAUGGUGUCCCAAUGAUAAAAAAAACCAAAUGAUGGGAGAAGAAGCUUAGAUUUAAUCUAGGAUGCAGCCCUAUUGAUUAGAAACGAAAGGAACUAACAUUUAAGCUUAGAUAGAACCUAUGAUGGUGUCCCAAUGAUAGAAAAGCAAAUAAACAAAAAAUAAACUUAGAUAGAACCUGGGAUAUUGUCCCAAUGAUAAGAAACCAAAGGAACAAACAUCAAACUUAAAUUAAACCUAGGAUGGUCUCCCAAUGAUGAGAAACCAAAUGAAGAAAGCAAAUAUAUAUAUAUAUAUAUAUAUAUAUAUAUAUAUAAUCUAGGAUGGUGUGCCAAUUAUGAGAAAUUAAAGGAAAAGGAAACAAACUCAAAUGGAAAUUAGGCUGGCGUCCAAAUGAUAAGAAAUCAGUGGAACAAAUGAUUAAGUUUAAAUAGCACCUAGGAUAGUUAGACACAAAAUGAACAAAGAAUAAAAUGAAAUAGAAACUAGAAUGGGGUCCCAAUGAUGAGAAACAAAUAAGAAACUUAGAUACAACCAAGGAUGCUAUCCCUAUGAUGAGAAACCAAAUGAAUAAAUAAUCAAUUGAAUUAGAACCUUCGAUGGUAUGAGAAACCAAAUGAACAAAUAAUCAACUGAAUUAGAACCUUCAAUGGUAUCCUUAUGAUGAGAAACCAAAUGAAUAUAGAAUCAAUUGAGUUAGAACCUUGGAUGGUGUCCCAUUGAUGAGAAGCAACAGAACAAACGAUUGAAUUUAUAAAGAACCUAGGAUGGUGUCCCAAUGAAACAAAUAAUUAUGCUUAGACAAAACCUAGUUUUUCCUUUGAAUGAUGAGAUGCAAAAUGAACAAAGAAGAAACUUACAUAGAACCUAUGAUGGUGUCCGAAUGAUGAGAAACAAAAUGAAGAGAGAAUAACUUAGAUUCAAUCUAGAAUCCAGUUCUAUUGAUGAGAAAUGAAAGGAACUAACAUUUAACCUUAGAUAAAACCUAUGAUGCGAUCCCAAUGAUGGGAAAGCAAAUAAACAAGGAAUAAACUUAUAUAUAAACUAGGGUAUUUGUCCCAAUGAUGAAAAUCAAAGGAACAAACAUCAAACCUAAAUUAAACAUAGGAUGGUCCCCCAAUGUUUAGUAACUGAAGGAAUUAACGAUUAAGGUUGAGUAGAACCUAGGAUGGUGUCCCAAUGAUGCGAAACCAGAUGAAGAAAGGAAAAAUUGAGAUAAAAUUUAGGAUGAAGAAAGGAAAAGGAGAGAAAUACGGAUAGCAAUUAGGUCAGUGUGCCAAUGAUAAGAGACCAAUGGAACAAACAAUUAAGCUUAAAUAGACCUAGGAUAGCAUUCCACUAAUCAAAUACAAUAUGAACAAAGAAUAAAAUGAAAUAGAAGCUUGAAUGGUUCCCCAAUGAUUAGAAACCAAUUGAAUAAAGAAAAGAGUUACAACCUUGGAUGGUGUCCUAUUGACGAGAAACAUAGGAACAAACUAUUAAGUUUAUAAAAAAAACUUACAAUAGUGUCCCAAUGAUGAUAAACCAAUGGAACAAAAGAUUAAUUAUUCCUCUAAACAAGGAGAAACGAAAUGAACAAAGAAUAAAUUGAGAAAAAAAAAGUAAAAAAGAAGAAACUUACAUCAGAACCUAGGAUGGUAUCCCAAUGAUGGGAAAGUAAAUAAACAAAGAAUAAACAUAGAUAGAAAAACCUAGGAUAUUGUCCCAAUUAUAAGAAACCAAAGGAACAAACAUCAAACUUAAAUUAAACCUAGUAUGGCCUCCCAAUGUUCAAAAACCAAAGGAACAAAUGAUUAAAGUUGGAUAGAACCAAGGAUGGUGUCCCAAUGAUGAGAAACCAGAUGAAGAAAGAAAAAAACUAAGAUGGAACCUAGGAUGACAUGCCAAUUAUGAGAAACUAAACUAAAAGGAAAGAAACACACAGAAAUUAGGCUAGCAUCCAGAUGAUAAGAAACCAAUGGAACAAACGAUUAAGCUUAAAUAGAAUCUAGGAUACUAUUCCACAUAUCAUACAAAGCAUGAACUAAGAAUAGAAUGAAAUAGGAAUUAGAAUGGUGUCCCAAUGAUGAGAAACAGAAGUAACAAAUAAGAAACUUAGAUACAACAUCUGAGGGCAUUCCAAUGAUGGGAAACCAAAUGAAUAAAAAGAAUAAACUGAGGUAGUAGAACCUUUGAUGGUGCCCAAUGAUGAGAAAAAAAGGAACAAAAGAUUAAGUUUAGAAACAACCUAGGAUGGCGUCCCAACAAUGAGAAACAAAAUGAACAAAGAAUAAACUGAGCUAGAACAUAUGAUGUUGUCCCAAUGAUGGGAAACCAAACUAAUAAACAAGAAACUUACAUAGAACCUAGGAUGGUGUCCCAAUGAUGAGGAACCAUAUGAAGAGAGAAGAAACUUAUAUUCAACCUGGAUGCAGUCCUAUUGAUGAGAAAUGAAAGGAACUAACGUUUAAGCCUAGAUAGAACCUAUGAUGGCUUCCUAAUGACGGGAAAACAAAUAAAUAAAGAAGAAACUUACAUAAAACUUAGGAUUCUAUCCCAAUGAUGAGAAACCAAAGGAACAAACAUCAAACUUAAAUUAAAACUAAGAUUGUGUCCCAUUGUUCAAAAAUUGAACGAACAAACGAUUAAGGAUAACUAAAGAAAGAGAAAACUAAGAUAGAACCUGGGAUAGUGUACCAAUGAUGAAAAACUAAAGGAAAAGGGAAGAAACAUAGAUAGUGCCUAGCAUCCUAAUGAAAAAAGAAUAAACUGAGAUAGAACAUAGGAUGAUGUCCCAAUAAUGAGAAACCAAAGUAACAAAGAAGAAACUUAAUAGAACCUAGGACGGUGUCCCAAUGUUGAGAAACCAAAUGAAGACAGAAGAAACUUAGAUUCAACCUAGGAUGCAUUCCUUUUGAUGAGAAAUGAAAGGAGCUAAUGUUUAAGCUUAGAUAGAGCCUAGGAUGGUGUCCCAAAGAUGGGAAAACAAAUAAACAAAUAAUAAACAUAGAUAGAACCUAGGAUAUUAUCCCUGUGAUGAUAAACCAAUGGAACAAACAUCAAAUGAUGGCAAUGAAAUGUUCAAAAAUCAAAGGAACAAACAAUUAAGCUUAGAAUCUAGGAUAGUAUCCAAAAGCUAAGACACCAAAUGAAGAAAGACAAAACUGAGAUAGAACCUAGGAUGGUGUACCGAUGAUGAGAAACUAAAGGAAGAAAGAAAAAACACAGAUAAAACCGAGGAUGGCAUCCUAAUGAUGACAAAACCAAACGAACAAACAGUUAAGCAUAUAUAGAACCUAUGAUGUCUUCCAAUGAUAUGAAACAAAAUGAACAAAGAAAGAACCUAGGAUGAUGUCCCAAUGAUGAGAAAGCAAAUGAACAAAUGAUUAAACCUAGGAUGGUGUCCCAAUGAUAAUAAACCAAUGGGACGUAAAAGAAACUUAUAUAGAACCUAGGAUGGUGUUCUAUUGAUGUCAAAUUAAAAGGAUGAAAGAUGAAACUUAGAUUCAACCUAGGAUUGAGUUUGAUUGAUCAGAAAAGAAAGUAAACAAUUAAGCUUAGAUAGAAUUUAGGGUGGCAUCCCAAUGAUGCAAGGGUGAAUGAAGAAAGAAUGCUCUAAGAUAGAACCUAGGUUGGUAUCCCAAUGAUGAGAAACCAAUCGAAAAAAUGAUUAAGCAUAGACAAAGCCUCUAUAGAACCUAAGAUGAGAAAUAAAAUGAACAAAGAAUAAACCAAGAAAGAACCUAAGACAGUGUCCAAUUGAUGAGAAACUAAAUUUACAAUUGAUUAAACUUAGAUACAACCUAUGAUGGCCUUCCAACUAUGAGAAACAAAAUGAAUAAAGAAUAAACUUAGAUAGAACCUAAGAUGGUGUCACAUUGAUGCAAUAGCAAAGGAAGAAAUGAUUAACGUUAGAUAGGACAUAGAAUGACAUCCCAAGGAUGAGAAACCAAAGGAAUAAAACAUAAACAUAUAUCGAACCUAGGAUGUUGUCCUAAUGAUGAGAAACUAGAGGAACAAACGAUUGAGGUUAGAUAGACCUUGGAUGGUGUCCUAAUGAUAAGAAACAAAAUGAACAAAGAAUAAAUUUAGAUAGAACCCUGGAUGGUGCCCCAAUGAUGACAAACCACAGGAAGAAACAAUGAAGUUUAGAUAGAAUCUAGGAUAGACUCACAAUUAUGAGAAAUGAAAUAAAAAAAGAUUAAGAUGAGAUAGAACUAAUUUAAGAUGGUGUCUCAAUGAUGAGAAACCAAAUGAACAAAGAAUUAAUUCGCAUGGAUUAGAAACUGAAUUAACCUAAGAUCAAAGGAUGAGAAACUGAACGAUCAAAGAAGAUACUAAUAUUGAACCUAAGAUCAUGUCCCCUUUGAUUAGAAACCAAAGGAACAAAUGAUUAAGCUCAGAUAAAACCUAGGAUGAUGUCUUCACAACGAGAAAACAAAGGAACAAAUGAUUAAGCUUAGAUAAAACCUAGGAUGAUGUCCUCACAACGAGAAAACAAAGGAACAAAAAAUAAAUUGAUAUAGAAUUUAGGAUGUUGUCCCAAUGAUGAGAAACCAAAUGAACAAAGAAUAAAUUGCGAUAGAAUGUAAGAUGGUGUCCCAAUGAACAAAAAAUUUAGUUUAGAAAGAACAUAGAAAGGUGUCCCAAUGUGAGAAUAAACUAAGAUAGAAAUCGAAGGAACAAAUAUGGAAGUUUGAUUGAACACAUGAUCGUUUCCCAACAAUGAUGAGCAACCAAAGGAACCAAUGAUUGAGCUUAGAUAGAAUCUAGUAUGUUGUCCCAAUGACAAGAAUCCAAAGGAAACUAAGCAUAAACUGAGAUCGAACCGAUGAUGGUAUCCCAAGGUUUAGAAACAAAAUUAACAAAGAAGAAACUCACAUUAAACUUAGGAUGGUGUCACAGUGAUGAAAAACCAAAUGAACAAAAAAUAAACUGAGAUAGAACGUUGCAUUAUGUCCCAACGAUGAGAAGCCAAAGGAACAAAGAAUAAAUUGAGUCUGAACCUAAGAUAGUGACCCAAUGAUGAGAAAACAAAAUAAACAAACAAUUUAGGUUAGACAAACCCUAGGAUGGUGUCCCAAUGAUGGGAAACCAAAUGAACAAAUAGAAACUUAGAUUGAACCGAGGAUUGUAUCCUAAUCAAGAGAAACCAAAGUAACAAAUGACUAAACUUAGAUAGAAUCUCUACGAUUGCAUCCCAAUGAUAGAAACCAAAGGAAUAACAAAUAAAUGAUUAAAUUUAGAAUAAGUCUAGAAUGGCGUCCCAAUGAUUAGAAAGAAAAAGAACAAAGAAUAAACCAAUAUACAACCUAAGACAGUCCAAAUGAGCAGGAAAAAAAAUGGAACAAUGACAAAACAUAGAUUCUUAGGAUGGUGUCCCAAUGAUGAGAAACCAAAGGAACAAACAACUAAACAUAGAUGGAACCUAGGAUGGUGUCCCAAUUGAAUAAUUGAUUAAGCUAAAAUAAAACUUAGGAAGGUGCCCCAAUGAUGAGAAACAAAAGCAACAAAGAAGAAACUUAAUUACAACCUAAGAUUGUCUCUAUGAUGAGAAACCAAUUGAACAAGUGAUUAAGCUAAAAUGAAACUUAGGAAGGUGUCCCAAUGAUGAGAAACCAGAACAUAGGAUGGUGUCCCAAGGAUGAGAAAGCAAAAUAACAAACCAUAAACUGAGAUAACACCUAGGAUGGUGUACCAAUGACGAGAAACCAAAGGAACAAAUGAUUAAGUUUAGACAGAACCUAUAAUUGAGUCCAAAUGAUGGGAAACAAAAGGAAUAACGAAUAAGUAGUGAUAGAACCUAGCAUGUUGUCCCAAUGAAAACAAACCAAAGAAAGAGCAACUUAUAUAAAACGUAGGAUGGUGUCCCAAUGACGACAAUCCAAAGGAACAAAGAGUACACUGACAUAGAACCUACCAUAGUGUCCCCAUCAUGAGAAAUCAAAGGAACAACGAAGAAAUAUAGACUAAGGAUGGUGUCCUAGUGAUGAGAAAGAACCGAAGCAAACAAUUAAGCUUAGACAUAACGAAAGCAAACAAUUAAUGGGAAUUUUAUGCUAUUCUAUGGUGUAUCUGAUUUCUUUCCUUGAAUCAUUUGUUGGAAUUUCAUGUUAUUUUUAUGAUUUCAUAAAAUGUGUUAAUGUGUCAUUCAAUCUCGAUUUAUUGCAUUAAAAUGUUACCAUGAUAUUGGAACGUUUAUUGGUAUGAAGAUUCAUGGUUCUGUGUUGUCAAAAUGGUUCAUGGUGUGGUUGCAUUGCAAGAAGGAUAUGGAAUUAUCACAGAUGAUAUUCAGAGUAUUGAUUGGUGGGAAGUGUUUAUGUGAUGCUACAAGCAUUAUCAUUUGAUAUAUUGUUUUGUUAACUAUAAUAGUCACAAAGUUUAAUACAGGAUGUACUCUUUAUAACAAGUUGUGCGUAUCCUCUUUUUGCACAAAAUCAAGCAGGAUCUCAGCAUUUAAAUUUUUGAGAGCACUUAUAUUGUAUUUGAGUUUCAAUUGUUUAGUUUGAAGAAUUACAAAAACCGGGGUGUGACAAUUAGUGAACCAUGGGAUUUUGGUUUAUGUAAAGUAACGUAGUACAAGUUUUUUUUUUUUUGUGAAAUGGAUCAUAUUUUGUUAACUAAGAGUUACAAAGUUUAAUAUAGGAUACUCUUUAUAACAGGUUUCCAUAUUCUCUUUUUGCACAAAAUAAAGUAAGAACUCGACAUUUAAAUUUUUGUAUCCCCAAUUUUUUGAAAGCACUUAUGUUGUUUUUGAGUAUCAAUUGUAAAAUCAAAAACUCAGGGUGUGGGAGUUCCAAUGAUGAGAAACCAAUUGAACAAAGAAUAAACAUAAAUUGAACCUAGGAUGGUGUCCUAAUGUUGUGAAAUAAAACGAAUAAACGAUUAAACUUAGAUAAAAUCUAGGAUGGCGUCCUNNNNNNNNNNNNNNNNNNNNNNNNNNNNNNNNNNNNNNNNNNNNNNNNNNNNNNNNNNNNNNNNNNNNNNNNNNNNNNNNNNNNNNNNNNNNNNNNNNNNAAACGAAUUAACGAUUAAACUUAGAUAAAAUCUAGGAUGGCGUCCUUAAGAUGAGAAACCAAAUGAACAAAGCAUAAGCUGAGAUAGAACCUAGGAUGGUGUUCCAAUGCCGAGAAAGCAAAUGAAUAAAGAAGAAAGUAAGAUAGAACCUAUGAUGUUGUCCCAAUGUUGACAAGCCAAAUGAACAAAGAAUAAACUAAGAGAGAACCUAGAAUGGUGUCUCAAUGACAAGAAACAAUUAUGAGAAACCAAGGAUGGUGUCCACACCAAGAGAAAACAAAGGAACGAAAAAGAAAUUUAGAUUGAAUCUAGGAUCGUGUCCCAAUGGAAGAAACGAUUAAACAUAGAUAGAACCAAGGAUUGCGGCCCAAUGAUGGGAAACCAAAGGAACAAAGAAUAAAUUGAGAUAGAACCUAGGAUGGUGUCCCUAUGACGAAACACGAAAAGAACAAAUGAUUCAGGUUAGACAAAACCUAGGUCAGCAUCCCAAUAGUGAGAAACCAAAUGAACAAAGAAUAAAGAAAAAUAGAACUUAAGAUGGUGUCCAAAUGAUGACAACUCGAUGGAACAAAGAAGAAACAUAGAUAGAACCUAGGAUAGUGUCCCAACAAUGAGAAACCUAAUGAACAAACAAUUAAGCUUAACUUGAACCUAGGAUGACAUCCCAAUGACGAGGAACCAAACGAACCAUGAAUAAAUUGAGAUGGAACCUAGGACACCCCAAUGAUAAGAAAUCAUAUGAACUAAGAAGAAACUUAGACAAAACUUAGGACGGUUUCCUAAUGAUAAGAAACCAAAGGAACAAAGAAGAAACUUAGAUAGAACCUAAGAUGUCCCAAUGAUGAGAAACCAAAUGAAAAAACGAUUAAAAUUAAAUUGAACUAAGGAUCAUGUCCCGAUGACAAGAAACCAAAAAAUGAUUAAGCUUAGAUAGAACCUAGCAAGGCAGGCCAAUGAUUGGAAAUAAAGGAACAAAUAAUAAAUUAAGAUAAAACCUAGGAUGAUGUCCUUAUGACAACAAACGAAAGGAACAAAUGAUUCAGGUUAAGAAAAAAACUAGGAUGGUGUCCCAAUGAUGAGAAACCAAAUGAACAAAGAAUAAAUAGAGAUAGAACCUAAGAUGGUGUCCAAAUGAUGAGAAAUCAAAUGAACAAAAAAGAAACAUAGAUAGAACCUAGGAUGAUGUCCUAACGAUGAGAAACCUAACACAAAACUGAUUAAGCAAAACCAGAACCUAGGAUGGCGUCGUAAUGAUGAGAAACCAAAUGAACAUUGUAUAAAUUGAGAUAGAACAUAGAAUGCUGCCCCUAUGAUGAGAAACCAAAUGAACAAACAAUUAAGCUUAUAUAGAACCUAGGAUGGUGUCCCAAUGUUGAAAAACAAAAUGAACAAAGAAUAAACUAAGAUAAAAAAAGGUUGGUGUCACAUUGAUGUGAAAGCAAAUGAAGAAAUGGUUAAGGUUAGUGAUGAGAAUCAACAAGCAUUCAAGGAUCCAUUGCAUGUUCCAGUUGGGCCUAUUACUAAAGCAAGAUCCAAGAAUAUCAAAGAAGCACUUAAUGGGCUACUUCAAGAGAUUUGAGUUGAUCCUAACGUAGGACUUUCCAAGCUUGGCCCAAAGGAGGAUGAAGGUGUAAUAAAUUUAAUCCAAGCUAGUGAGGGCUAAUCUGGCUUGAUUUAUGGCGUGCAAGGGCAACAUGUUAUUAAUGACAAAAAAAAAANNNNNNNNNNNNNNNNNNNNNNNNNNNNNNNNNNNNNNNNNNNNNNNNNNNNNNNNNNNNNNNNNNNNNNNNNNNNNNNNNNNNNNNNNNNNNNNNNNNNACGUUAGGAUCAACUCAAAUCUCUUGAAUUAGCCCAUUAAGUGAUUGACUUUCCAACUCCAUAUCAAUUAAUAGACAUUUUUCCUAUUCUAGAGCUUCUAAUUUCAGGCCAAAUACCUUAAUUUUAGGCUUUUAUUAUUUAGAACGUUUUUUUAGCUAUUUUCCUAUUUUGGAUCUGCUAAUUUCUAACCAAAUCAACUUUUAUUUAGGGUUUCAAUAUUGAGUAAGUUUUUUUGUCAUGACAUAUAAAUAGCAUGCACUCAUUGUAAUAGGGAAUAAUUUGAUUGAGUAAAAAAUAAAAAAAGGUGAGGCUUUGCUCUUCUUUUGGUUCUUCAAGAACUAUGAACUUAUCAAGGAUUCUUCCUCAUGGCGUUCAAACUUUAUACCUUCGGUUCGUGAUUCCAUUGUAAUCAUUGGGUUAAGGUCUGGUACUUAUACUUUUGGUUCACGUUUCACUUAUAAACAUUGGGUCAGGGUUUUAUAAAAAAUCUGUACGUUAGCUUUCUUGGGCAAUUAUUCCAAUACUAUUUGUUGGGUCUCAAAGCGUGUCGAUUGAGGUUCGCAUCAUUUGGUAUCAGAGCACAGGUUCUAAAAUCAGUUUUCUAUCCCUUUAUCUUUUGUUUCUUGUUAUCGUCCUAUCUUGUUCCUUUUGUGUUUUUUAUUCCUCAUUCUUUUUUUAUUUUUAUUUUACAUGCACUAGGUUAAACUCAUGCACCAAAUUCAAAAAAAAAAAAAAAUUGUGUGUAGUUUCAAUUCUCUCAAAUCAAAAUAUUAUUUUCUUUUGUCCUCUUCCUUUGAUUUAGUGUUUCUGUCAUAUUUUCUUGCCAUUAGUAUUAGUUUAAAUACUACAAGUUGAAUUUCUUGAUCAAGUUUGUUAGUUUAAGCAGAACUGAAAAGAGGAAGCUACGAGUGGAAAAAAGCAAUAGAAUGUGAGACUAAUAUCGGGAAAAAGCCAAUUUAAGAGUGAAACACGAGUGUGAGUGCAAACACGUGAGGGAGUGUUGUGAGGAAUUAUUUCUAACAUUUUUUUGUAGUUUUAAAAAUGUCUUCAAAGGGCGAAUCAUCAAAUAAGGAAGGAGGGGAGGAGUCAUCCCUCAUGUUGCAAGCUAUGCAACAACAGUUUGAACACAUGAACGUGGUGUUUAAUGAUAUUCGGGAUCUGAUGGAUAGGCAAGACACUGUUAUCGCUUCUUUGCAUGAGGAGCGUACCCAAAGAGCCCCUAAUGCUAGAAGACAAGGAAGGCGUGUACGCGUUUAUGAUUCUGAUGACUACCAUGAGGAUGAGUUUAAAGAUGAAGAGGAUCAAGCUUCAUUGAAUCAUGAGGGCAGGUUUGCGUCAAGGGGAGAAAGGCGUGGUAGAGGUUUCCGAAGAGCUCCAAGAUGGCAAGAUGGGAUUGAUAGAAACCUAGGAAACAACAAAUUGAAGAUACCAUCGUUUCAAGGGAAAAAUGAUCCAGAAGUGUACUUGGAGUGGGAGAAGAAGGUGGAGUUCAUCUUUGAGUGUCAUAACUACUCCAAGGAGAAAAAGGUAAAACUAGUUGUGAUUGAGUUUACUGACUAUGCUAUUAUAUGGGGGGAUCAACUUGUGAUGAACAGAAGAAAAAACUAUGAGAGGCCUAUUGAGACAUGGGAGGAAAUGAAAGCCACCAUGAGGAGGCGGUUUGUCCCUAGUCACUACUAUAGGAGCUUGUAUCAGAAAUUACAGGAGCGUGGAUGACUAUCACAAGGAGAUGGAGAUUGCCAUGAUUCCGACUAAUGUAGAGGAUGGAGAAGCUAUUAUGGCAAGGUUUCUGAAUGGGCUGAAUCGGGACAUUGCCAAUGUGGUGGAGUUACAACACUAUGUGCAGUUAGAGGACAUGGUGCACAUGGCAAUAAAGGUGGAAUGGCAGCUUAAAAGGUAAGGAACUCAGUCAUUUAAAAAUCUCGGCUCCUCUGCUUCAUGGAGGCCAAAUGGGAGGAAAUAUGAAGGGGUUGUUUUCAAGUCCAAAACCGAACCACCAAAAAGGAGAGAUGAAGCUCCCAAUGUCAACAAAGGUAAAAAUGAAUCCAAAACUUGUAAUCGUGAUAUUAAGUGUUUUCGUUGUUUGGGAGUAGGUCAUAUAGCUUUACAACGCCCAAAUAAGAGGACCAUGAUCGCACGUGUUGAUGUUGAGGUGGAAACUGAAAGUGAGGAAGAUGAUGACCAGAUGCCAUCAUUGGAGGAUGCUUGUGAUGAUAAUGUGGAGUAUCCAGUGGAGGGUAAGUCACUUGUGGUUAGGCGUGCUUUAAGUGCCCAAGUUAAAGAGGAUGACAUGGAACAACAAAGGGAGAAUAUUUUUCAUACUAGAUGCCACAUCAACAAUAAGGUAUGUGGUAUGAUCAUUGAUGGGGGGAGCUAUACUAAUGUGGCUAGCACUACUUUAGUUGAAAAAUUGAAUUUACCUACCUUGAAACACCCUAGACCAUAUAAGUUGCAGUGGUUGAAUGAUUGUGGAGAGGUUAAGGUAAAUAAGCAAGUGUUGGUUUCUUUUUCAAUUGGGAGGUACAAGGAUGAAGUACUUUGUGAUAUUGUUCCAAUGCAUGCGGGUCACAUUUUAUUGGGUAAGCCUUGGCAGUUUGACAGAAAGGUCAAUCAUGACAGGUUCAAGAAUAGGUAUUCUUUUGUAAAAGACAAUAAAACCAUUACUCUUGUAUUGUUGACUCCACAACAAGCGUAUGAAGAUAAAAUGAAAUUGAAAAGAGAGAAUGACUUGCAAAAAAAUUGUGAUAGUAAGAGUUCAAAAAAAGAUGAUGAGAAAGAGAGUGAAACAAAAAAAAAAAAAAAAAAUAGAGAGUGGAAAAAAUGAGAGAAAAACAAAAAAACAAGGGAGUUUUUAUGUUAAGGCGAGUGAUGUCAAGAAUGCUUUUUAUAUAAACCAGCCUAUAUUUGUACUCUUGUACAAAGAGAUAUGUUUUAACACUAAUGAACUUGACGAAUCUUUGCCUAGUGUUGUUUCUUUGUUGCAGAAAUAUGAGGAUGUGAUUCCUAACGAUGUGCCUAGUGGAUUACCACCUAUUAGAGGAAUAGAGCAUCAAAUUGAUUUUGUGCCAGGUAUGACAAUUCCUAACCGACCAGCCUAUAGGAGUAAUCUAGGGGAGACAAAGGAACUUAAAAGGCAAGUUGAGGAGUUGCUAACCAAACGACAUGUGAGAGAGAGCAUGAGUCCAUGCACAGUGCCGGUGCUGCUUGUGCCUAAGAAGGAUGGAACUUGGAGGAUGUGUGUUGAUUGCAAGGCUAUUAACAACAUUAUGGUAAAGUAUAAACAUCCCAUCCCUAGGAUAGAUGACAUGUUGGAUGAAUUGCAUGGAUCAUGUGUUUUCACAAAAAUUGAUUUAAAAAGUGGGUAUCAUCAAAUUAGGAUGAAAGAGGGUGAUGAAUGGAAAACUGCCUAUAAAACUAAAUAUGAAUUAUAUGAGUGGUUAGUAAUGCCUUUUGGUCUAACUAAUGCACCAAGUAAAUUCAUGAGGUUAAUGAAUGAUGCAUUGCGUGCGUUUAUAGGCAGAUUUGUUGUGGUUUAUUUUGAUGAUAUUUUGGUGUAUAGUAAGAACUUAGAUGGGCAUAUCAAUCAUUUGCAUUGUGUGCUUGUUGUUUUAAGAAAAGAAAAAUUAUAUGCAAAUUUAAAGAAAUGUUCCUUUUGCAUGGACAAAGUUAUAUUUCUUGGUUCUGUUUUUAGUAUGAAAGGAAUUGAGGUGGAUGAGGAAAAUGUGAAGGCUAUCAAGGAAUGGCCCACAGGUUAAUCACUGACGUAAGAAGUUUUCAUGGUUCGACUAGUUUUUAUUGUUGAUUUGUCAAAGAUUUUAGUACACUAGCCGCACCACUCACUAAAAUUGUUAAAAAAUCUGUGGGUAUUAAAUGGGGCAGUAAGUAAGAUCGUGCAUUUAUUUAAAUUAAAGAAAGGUUAUGUGGUGCCCCUUUAUUAGCAUUACCUGAUUUUUCUAAGACUUUUGAGAUUGAGUGUGACGCCUCAGGAAGAGGUAUUGGAGCUGUUUUGAUGCAGGAGAAGCAACCAAUAGCCUAUUUUACUGAAAAGCUAAAUGGGGCAACUUUGAACUACCCAACAUAUGACAAGGAGCUUUAUACACUGGUGAGAGCAUUGGAGACUUGGCAACAUUACCUUUGGCUGAAAGAAUUUGUUAUACAUAGCGACCAUGAGUCCUUGAAGUACUUAAAAGGACAAGGUAAGUUUAAUAGAAGGCAUGCCAAGUGGGUGGAAUUCAUUGAGACCUUCCCUUAUGUAAUCAAAUACAAACAAGGUAAGGAAAAUAUUGUGGCUGGUGCAUUAUAAAGAAGGUAUGCUCUUGUCUCUACUUUAAAUGCAAAGUUAUUAGGAUUUGAAUAUGUUAAGGAACUUCCGCAUCUAUAUUCGCAUCUUCCUCAUAUGUAGUCUCUACGCUUGAAAAAAAGCUUUUUGAUCGCAUCUGAAACGACAACAAGUGUGUGCAUUUCCUUAUCAAAGCCCUUGAACUAACCUUUUAGGCACAAAGGGCAUUCUGAGGCUGAAUUGUGUGGAUUCACCAGGCACCCACCAUAAUAUUGAUUUGUUGAAAACAGCUCCUUCGUCUACCGCGCCUAUUUGUAUUGCUACAAUCAUGCUUACCGAUAUGCAACUGACUGAAUAGGACAUAUGGCCGGGCAGGACGGCUUUGCUUAAGACCGGAAUGCUACCCCCGCUCGAACUCACUUUCAACGCUCGAACUCAAGAACUAAACUCAAGUCAUUGCUCCGCUCAUGCUUGCUUCCCUUGCCUAUCUAAAAGAAGAAAAGAUGCACGAGCAUGUGAGAAGACAGCAUUUGGUAAAUUCUAUAGACUAGAUGGGUACUUGUUUAGAGAGAAUAGACUUUGUGUGCCUAAUAGUUCUAUGCGUGAAGCACAUGGAGGUGAUUUAAUGGGUCACUUUGGUGUAAGAAAGACUUUAGACGUAUUACAUGAAUAUUUUUUUUGGCCAAAGAUGAAACGUGAUGUGGAGAGAGCUUGUGCUAGAUGCAUUACAGGCCAAAUCUAGAGUCUUACCACAUGGAUUAGACACUCCUUUACCUGUACCUAGUGCACCUUGGGUCAGGUUUCUAUAAAAAAUCUGUAUUUUAGCUUUCUUGGGCAAUUAUUCCAAUACUGUUUGUUGGGUCUCAAAGCGUGUCGAUUGAGGUUUGCAUCAGUUAGAUAGAACAUAGGAUGACGUUCCAAUGAUGAUAAAUGAAAUGAACAGAGAAUAAAUUGAGAUAGAACCUAAGAUGGUGUCCUAAUUAUUAGAAACCAGUUGAACAACGAUUAAACUGAGAUAGAACCUAGAAUGGUUACAUUAAUUAGAAACUAAAGGAAAAAAAAGAAGAAAUUUAAAUAGAACCUAGGAUGGGGUCCUAAAUGAUCAAAGAAUAAAUAGAGAUAGAACAUAGGAUGGUGUGCCAAUGAUGAGAAACCAAAGGAAUAAAGAAGAAAUUUAGAUAGAACCUAGGAUGGUGUCCCAAUGAUAAUGAGAAACCAAACAAAAAAAUGAUCAAAUAUAGAUAGAACCUAGGAUGGUAUCCCAAAUGACCAGAGAAUAAAAUGACAAAGAACAUAGGAUGGUGUUCCAAUGAUGAGAAACCAAAGGAACAAACAAUUAAACUUCAAUAGAAGCUACAAUAGCAUUGCAAUGAUGAGAAACCAAAUGAACAAAGAAUUAAUUGAGAUAGAACCCAGGAUUGUAACCCGGUGAUAAGAAACCAAAGGAACAAACAACGCCAUCCUAGGUUCAUCCUAAACUUACUCAUUUGUUCCUUUGGUUUCUAUUCAUUGGGACACAAUCCUAAGUUUUAUCUUAGUUUAUUCUUUAUUCCUUUGGUUUCUCAUCAUUAGAACACCAUCCUAUAUUUUAUAUCAGUUUAUUCCUUGUUCAUUUUGUUUCUCAUCAUUACGACACCAUUCUAGGGUCUAUUUAAGUUUCUUCUAUUUUUCCCAUAGUUUCUCAUCAUUGGAAUGCCAUCGUAGGUUCUAUCAAAGUUGAUUUGUUUCUUCCUUUGGUUUCUUAUCUUUGAGAUACUAUCCUAGGUUCAACCUAAGUUUUGUCAUUGUUCCUUUGGAUUCUCAUCAUUGGGACACCAUCCUUUGUUCUUUCUAUGUUUAUUCUUUGUUCAUUUCAUUUCUCCUCAUUUGGAUGCCAUCCUAGGUUUCUUGUCAUUGGCAUACUACCUCAAUUUUUUCUUUGUUCCUUUAGUUUCUCAUUAAUGAGACGCCAUCCUAGGUUCUAUCAAAGCUGAUUUGUUUCUUCUUUUGGUUUCUCAUCUUUGCGACACGAUCCUAGGUUCAACCUAAAUUUCAUCUUCGUUCCUUUGGAUUCUCAUCAUUGGGACACCAUCCUACUUUCUUUCUCGGUUUAUUCUUUAUUCAUUUUGUUUCUCUUCAUUUGGACACCAAGCUUGGUUAUUUCUAAACUUAAUCGUUUGUUCCUUUGGUUUCUCAUCACUUGGACAACAUUUUUCUAUCUCAGGUUAUUCCUUUUUCAUUUGGUUUCUCGUCAUUGGAACUUUCCUAGGUUCUAUUUAAGUUUAAUCAUUUGUUCCUUUGAAUUCUCAUCAUUGGGACACCAUCUUAUGUUCUUUCCCAUUUUAUACUUUUUUCAUUUCGUUUCUCAUCAUUGAGACAUCAUCGUAGGUUCUAUUUAAGCUUAAUCAUUUGUUCGUGUGGUUUAUCAUCGUUGGGACACCAUCUUAGACUCAAUCUAAGUUUUUUCUUUUUUGCACUUGUUUCUCAUCAUUGGGACAACAUCCUAUGUUUUCUCUUAGUUUAUUCUUUGCUCAUUUGGUUUCUCAUCAUUGGAACGCCAUCCUAGGUUCUAAUUUUCUUAUUUUUUACUUUAGUUUCUUAUCAUUGGUACAUCAUCCUUUGUUCUAUCUCAGUUGUUUCUUUAUAUCUUUGGUUUCUAAUCAAUGGGGCACCAUUGUAGGUUCUAUGAAAGAUAAUUCGUUUCUUUCUUUGGUUUGUCAUCUUUGCGACACUAUCCUAGGUUCAUACUAAGUUUCGUCUUUGUUCCAAUAGUUUCUCAUCAUUGGGGCAACAUUCUAGGUUCUAUCUUAGUUUAUUCUUUGUUCUUUUGGUGUCUCAUCAUCAGAUAAGCUUCCUAGGCUCUAUCUUAGUUUAUUCUUCGUUCCUUUGGUUUCUCACCAUUGGUACGCCAUCUUAGGUUUUAUCUCAACUUAUAUUCUUUGUUCCUUUGGUUUCUUGUCAUAAGGCCACCUUCCUAGGUUCUAUCUCAAUUUUUAUUAUUUGUUUUUUUGGAUUCUUAUCAUUGGGACACCAUCCUUGUCACAUCCCCGUUUUUAGAACUUAACAAUUGAUACUUAAAUACAACAUAAGUGCUUUAAAAAAUUUGGGGAUACAAAAAUUUAAAUGCUGGGUUCCUGCUUGAUUUUGUGCAAAAAGAGAAUAUGGAAAGCUACUUGAUUAGUUAACAAAAUAUGAUCCGUUUCACAAAAAGAACUUGUACUGUGUUACUUUACAUAUAACCCCAUAGUUCACUUUGGGUAGCCCAUACUACAAGUGUACAUGAAUAAUAUACAUUACACCAUUCCUUCAAAAAGAUUGAGUCUUUGUAUGAUACAAAGGAAAAGCCUCAAAACACUUUCAAUAUGAGCAAACAACAUCCAAUCAACAAAAAAGCAAUGGUCAAGAAUUAUUUCCAGCAUAAAUCUUCUCACCUGCAUCUAAAGGUGGAAGGGAUAGGGUGAGUUCAAACCUCAGUAGGAAAGUUUAUAACCAUCUUAAACAUACCCUUAAAAACCUUGAAUUAAACGUAUAAUAACAUUUGUGAUAAACAUUUUAUAAUCCUUAUCAAAUAUGCAAUAAUGUCAAACACGUAUGCAUGCGUUUGCUGGUUUCGUCUCUGCUUUUCCUCAUCCAUCCUUUCACAACUGAUAAACUGAUAACCCCCAACAAUGUACACACCAGAUAUCAAUGCUCCACAAGAUACUCGGUCAAUAUAAUAAUAUGAUUAUUCUAGGACUAUCACCCAAGGGUAAAUCAUAGACCUGUGUCUUCUUGGACUCAUACCUACGGGAAUGACCAACCCCGUAUCUUUAGGGACUAAAACCCAAGGGCAAGACCAACCCCAUACACACACAUCGGAGUGUCUUCCUCGAGGGCUCUAGGGACUUUCACCCAAGGCCCCAUGGUCUCACAUAAACAAUGUAAUACCUAGCACUAAUGAUUAUCUUAGUACUUAACUUUAAAUGUGCUUAAUUAGAUGUUACAACUAGUUUUAGUGUUAAUCCUAUUUAAUUAUGAAUUAAAGUUUGAUUAAGGUUAAUUGAGAUUAGUUCUUGACUUAACCAUGCUUAUUAGGUUUUUAGGGGUUCAUUAUAGUUUUGAAAAUCUAAAGGACUAAUGGGCAAUUAUGGGUUUUAUUUUUGAUAACUUGAAGGACUAAAGUGCAAAAUUGGGAAGUUGCAGUUAGUGGCAUGCCACCUCCUACUUGGGUGGAUUGGUGGUAGCCAUGUGGCCUGCCACCUCCUACUUGGCUCCAUGGAAAGCCCUAUAUAAGGGGUUGCAGCUCGUUUUGCACCAUUUUAGUUGCGGCAAGUUGGGUUAGAGAGAGAAUUUUAGAGAGAAAGUGAAGAUUUGAGAUUAAGCAAGUUGUUUAUUUUAGUUCCUAAUGUUAUGCUGAAACAAAUUAACGGUAAAAUUUGUGUAAAAGUUGAGUGUAAUUAGCUAUAAACAUGUUUUAGUUAAAAAUCACAAUUAAUUAGGGAUUAAAGUAUUUUAACUUAAGUAUUUUAUUAAUGGUAAGAUUAGCAUAAAUCUUGUUUAAUUGAAAAUUAGAUUAGUGAACAUGUGAUUAAUUAGGUUAUUUGGACAUUUGGGAUUUGUUAAUAGGUUAGGCUUUCAGAAAAUCACAGGAAUUAGUGUUUAGUAAUUAAUUACGGAAUAUUAAUAUGUAUUGUAAAUAUUGUUUAAUUCAAUUCAAAUUUGAUUUGAAAACCUGUAGGCAUGUAGAUUAGAGAAUAGUAGAAUUAAAAAAAAAAAAAUUAGCAACAGUAAAUUGUUUAAAUUUUCAUCGUUUGGAAGUCUAAAUUAUGUGUUUCAUUCCAGUUCCUUGUGUAGGUAAAGAUUGCCUACAUAGAACAAUCACAGAGGGAAAGCCCGUGUAAGGUAGGGAAUUUCAUGUUAUCCCAUAGUGUAUCUGAUUUCUUUUCUUGAUACAUUUAUUGGAAAUUUCAUGUCAUUUCUAUGAUUUCCUAAAAUGUUUUAAUGUGUCAUUGCAUUUUAUUUUAUUGUGUUGAAAUGUUACAUUGAGAUUGGAACGCAUAUUGGUAUGAAGAUUCAUGUUUCUGUGUUGUGGAAAUGGUUUAUGGUGUGGUUGCAUUGACAGAAGGAUAUGGAAUAAUCACAGAUGAUAUUAAGAGAAUUGAUUGAUGGGAAGUAUUUAUGCGAUGCUACAGACAUUAUCUUUAGAUAUAUUGUUUAUGUUGGACUGUGGGUCCUUGGGUGAAAGUCCCUGAAGCCCUCGAGGAAGACACUCAAAUGUGGGUGUAUGGGGUUGGUCCUGCCCUUGGGUUUUAGUCCCUAAAGACAUGGGGUUGGUCCUGCCCUUGGGUAUGAGUCCAAAAAGACACAGGUAUGACUUGCCCUUGGGUGAUGUCCCAAAAUAGUUAUUAUUAUAGUGACCGUGUAUCUUGUGGAGCAUUGAUAUUUGAUAUAUAGAUUGGUGGGGUGAAUAGUUUAUCAAUUGUGAAAGUAUGCACAAGGAAAAACAAAAAUCAUUAUGGCCUAUUUAAUUCAUUAGUGCUAGGUAUUACAAUAUCAGUUUAUUCUUUGUUUAUUUUCUUUCUCAUCAUUGGGACAUCAUCCUAACUAGGACUUUGUAUUUGAAGUUGAAGGAUUUUGCACUAGAUCUAAUUGUUCAAUUCUUUUUGUUAAACAUUUGAUUAAGUCAUCAUUAUUUGAAAGUUUAACUAUCUUAUUCCCUACCUCUACGGGUUUGAAAAUUGAAUGAUUUUUGUCUAAGUUUCUAUCUAGAAACUGUGGUGUGACAAUUUGAGGUGUCUCUAGUUUAUCUUCUAUCCUAUCAACUUGAGAGGAGAGGGUGCUUAGAAUUUAAUUUGUGGAAUUAUUUUGUUGUUGAAGGCUGUUAUAGUCUUUUAGUGUUGUUGUUCAUCUUUCAAUUUCUUUUGAAUAUAUUUUUUUGAAAGGUGAAGCUAUUAUUGCAAUGUUCCAAGCAGUUAUGGUUAUUUCCUCUCAAGUAGGAAUAGGUUCUAUCUAACCUUAAUCGUUUAUUCCAUUGGUUUCUUAUCAUUGGGACAUAUCCCUAGGUUCUAUCUCAAUUUAUUCUUUGUUCAUUUGGUUUCUCAUUAUUGGGACACAAUCCUAGGUUCUAUCUUAGUUUAUUCUUCGUUAAUUUGAUUUUUCAUCAUUAGGACGCCAUCCUGGGUUCUAUCUCAGUUUAUUCUUUAUUCCUGUGGUUUUCAUUCUUAGGACACCAUCUUAUGUUCUUAGGUUCUAUUUGAGCUCAUCUUAUUUUUUGUUUCUCAUCAUUGGGACAUCACCAAGUUUCUAUCUCAGUAUAUUCUUUGUUCAUCUGGUUUCUUCUCAUCAUUGGGAUCCAAUCCUAGGUUCUAAUUUUCUUAUUUGUUCCUUUGGUUUCUCAUUAUUGGGUUAAAUUCCUAGGUUCUCUAUAAAGUUAAUCAAUUAUUCAAUUGGUUUCUCAUCAUUGGGUUGAAUUCUUAGGUUCUAUAUAAGCUUAAUCAUUUGUUUGUUUGGUCUCUCAUCAUUAGGACCCGAUCCUAGGUUCUAUCUAAGUUUCUUCUUUAUUUAUUUGGUUUCUCAUAAUUGGGACACCAUUCUAUCUCAAUUUAUUCUUUGUUCUUUUUGUUUCUUAUUAUUGGGUCACCUUACUAGGUUCUAUCUCAGUAUAUUCUUUGUUUCAUUUAGUUUCUUAUGAUUGGGAAAUCAUCCUAAAUUCUAUCUAAGCUUAAUCAAUUGUUUGUUUGGUUUCGGAUCAUGGGGACAACACCCUAUGUUCUAUAUUAGUUUGUUCUUUGUUUAUAUGGUUUCUCAUCAUUGGGGGUCAAGGUUCUAUCUCUUUUUAUUCUUAGUUUAUUUUGUUUCUCAUCAUUUCGGAUGUCAUCAUAGGUUCUAUCUAAUCUUAAUAAUUUGUUACUUUGGUUUCUUAUUAUUGGGACACCAUCCUAGGUUCUAUCUAAGUUUAAUCUUUUUUUCCUUUGGUUGCUAAUGGUUGGGACACACCCGUAGGUUCUAUCUUAGUUUCUUCCUUGUUUCUUUGGUUUCUCAUCAUUGGGACACCAUCCUAAGUCCAGUCUAAGUUUCUUCUUUAUUCCUUUAGUUUCUCAUCUGUUGGCCACCAUCCUAGGUUAUCUUUGUUUAUUCUUUGUUCAUUUAGUUUCUCAUCAUUAGGACACCAUCCUAGGUUUUGUGUAAACUUAAUUGUUUGUUCCUUUGGUUUCUUGUCAUUGGGAGACUAUCCUUGGUUCUAUCUCAGUUUAUUCUUUCUUCAUUUGGUUUCUCAUCAUUGGGGCACUAUCCUAGGUUCAAUCUUAAUUUAUUCUUUGUUUUUUCAGUUUUUCAUCAUUCGGACACCAUCCUAUUCUAUCUCAGUUUCUUCUUUGUUACUUCUAUUUCUCAUCCUUGAGGCACCAUCAUAGGUUUGAUCUUAGUUUAUUCUUUGUUUCCUUCGAAUUCUCGUCGUUUGGACACUAUCCUGGGUUCUAUCUAAGCUCAAUAGUUGGUUCCUUCGGUUUAUCAUCGUCAUUGGGAUGCGAACCUAGGUUCAAUCUAACUGUCGUCUUUGUUGCUUUGGUUUCUCAUCCUUUGGAGACCAUCCUACGUUCUAUCUCAAUUAUUGUUUGUUCAAUUGCUUUCUCAUCAUAGGUACACCAUUCUAGGUUCUUUCUAAACUAAAUUAUUUGUUCUUUUGGUUUCCUUUCAUUGCAACACUGUCCUAGGUUCUACGUCAAUUUAUUCUUUGGUUAUUUGGUUUCUCAUCAAUUGGACACCAUCCUAGGUUCUAACUUAGUUUAUUCUCUGUUCAAUUGAUUUCUCAUCAUUGAGACACUAUCCUAGCAUCUAUCUAUACUUAAUCAUUUGUUCCAUUGGUUCCUCAUGAUUGGGACACGAUCCUAGGUCCUAUCUCCAUUUAUUCUUUGUUCCUUUGGUUUCUAAUCAUUGGUACACUAUCCUAUGUUCUAUCUAAGCUUAAUCGUUUGCUCGUUUGGUUUCUUAUCAUUAGGACACUAUCCUAGGUUUCUAUCUAAAUUUUUUCUUUAUGCCUUUGGUUUCUCAUCUUUGGGAUACCAACGUAGGUUCUAUCUCAAUUUAUUCUUUGUUGAUUUGAUUUCUCAUCAUUGGGUUGACAUCCUAUGUUCUAUAUAAGUUUAAUAAUUCGUUCAUUAGUUUUCUCAUGAUUGGGACACCAUCUGCGUUUCUUCAUAGUUCCUUUGGUUUCUUAUCAUUUGGACACCAUCCUAAAUUCGACCUCAGUUUAUUCUUUGUUCCUGUGGAUUCUCGUCAUACGUACAAACUCCUAAGUUCUAUCUCAAUUUAUUUUUUGUUCCUUUUUUUCUAAUCGUUGGAACGCCAUCCUAGAUUCUAUCUAAGAUUAAUCGUUUGUUCCUUUGGUUUCUAAUCAUGUGGAUACAAUCCUAGGUUCAAUAUAAGUUUCUUCUUUGAUCCUUUGGUUUCUCAUCCUGUGGACACAAUCCUAAGUUCUAUCUAAAUUAAUUCUUUGUUCAUUUGGUUUCUUAUCAUUGGGAAGCAAUCUAAUGUUCUUUCUAUGUUUCUUUUCUUUCUCAUCAUUGGGACACCAUCAUAGUUUCUAUCUCAUCUUAAUCUGUGUUUAUUUCGUUUCUCAUUGUUGUGAGUCUAUCCUAUGUUUUAUCUAAACUUUAUUGUUUGUUCUUGUGACUUCUCAUCAUUGGGACACUAUCCAAGGUUCAAUCUAGGUUUACUCUUUGUUCCUUCUGUUUUCUCAUCAUUGGGACAACAUCCUCGGUUUUGUCUCUAUUUAUGUUUUAUUCCAUUGGUUUCUCAUCCUUUGGAUGUUAUCCUAUGUUCUAACCUUAAUUGUUUCUUCCUUUGCUUUUGCAUCAAUGCUACACCAUCUUAGGUAUCUCAAUUUAUUCUUUAUUCGUUUUGUUUCUCACUGUUGGAACACUAUCAUAGAUUCUAUCUAAGCUUAAUCAAUUGUAAGUUUGGUUUCUCAUCAAUUGGAAUCCUAGGUUCAAUGUUAGUUUAUUCUUUGUUCAUUUUGUUUCUCAUCUUAGUACUAUACUUUAAGCAUGCUUAUUAGGUUCUUAGGGGCUGAUUAGGGUUAUGAAAACCUAAAGGACUAAUGGGCAAUUAUGGGUUUUAUUUUUGAUAACUUGAAGGACUAAAGUGUAAAAUAUGGAAAUUGGAGUUAGUGGAAUGCCACCUCCUGCUUGGGUGGAUUGGUGGCAGCCAUGUGGACUGCCACCUCAUGCUUGGCUGCAUGGAGACCCCUUUUUAAGGGGACUGCAGCUCGUUUUCCAUCAUUUCACCUGUAGCAACUUGGGUUAGAGAGAGAAAGUGUAGAUUAGAGGUAACCAAGUUGUUUAAUUUUGUAAUUUUCGUUUAUUUUGGUUCUUAAUGGUAUGCUGAAAAGAAUUAAUGGUAUAUUUGUGUAAAAGUUUAGUUUAAUUAGCUAUAAACACGUUUUAGUAAAAAAUCACAAUUAAUUAAGUUUUAAAUUAUUUUAUUAAUGGUAAGAUAAGCAUAAAUCUUCGUUUAAUUUGGUUUGAUUGAAAAAUAGAUUAGUAAACAUGUGAUUAAUUAGGUUAUUUGGACACUUGGGAUUUGUUAAUGGGUUAGGCUUUAAGAAAAUCAAAACAGUUUGUGUUUGGUAUUUAAUUAGGGAAAUUAAUAUGGAUUGUAAAUAUUGUUUAAUUCAAUUCAAAUUUGAUUGAAAUCCUAAAGGUAUAUAGAUUAGAGAAUAUGAGAAUUAAAAAUUAGCAACAGUAAACUAUUUAAAUUUUCAUGGUUAGGAAACCUAAAUUAUGUUGUUUCAUUUCAUUUCACGUUAUUUCUAUGAUUUCAUAAAAUGUUUUAAUGUGUCAUUGCAUCUCGGUUUAUUGCAUUGAAAUGGUACCAUGAUAUUGGAACGUAUAUUGGUUUGAAGAUUCAUGGUUUUGUGUAUUCAAAAUGGUUCGGGGUGUGGUUGCAUUGCAAGAAGGAUAUGGAAUUAUCACAUAUGAUAUUCAGAGAAUUGAUUGGUGGGAAGUGUUUAUGUGAGAUAUUGAUAUAUUGUUUAUGUGUGUCCUUUGGUGGAAGUCCCUAAAGCCCUCGAGGAAGACGCUCUGAUGUGGGUGUAUGGGGUUGGUCCUACCCUUGGGUUUUAGUCCCUGAAGACAAGUUGGUCUUGCCCUUGGGUGAUGUCCCAGAAUAGUCAUUAUGAUAUUGAUCAAGUAUCUUGUGGAGCAUUGAUAUAUGAUGUGUAGAUUGGUGGGGGUUAGCAGUUUAUGAUUGUUGAAAGGAUGGAUGAGGAAAAGCAAAGAUGAAACCAACACACACAUGCAUACAUGUUUGACAUGAUUACACAUUUGUUUAUGGUUAUAAAAUGUUUAUGCAUGCUAUUAAACAUUUAAUUUAGGGUUUUUAAGGGUAUGCUUAGGAUGGUUAUAAACUUUCCUACUGAGUUGUGAACUCACCCUAUCCCUUCCACCUCUAGAUGCAGGAAAUAAUGCUUUAUUGUGAUUGGAUGUUGUUUGCUCGCAUUGAAAGUCUUUUGAGGCCUUGCCUUUUAUAUCAAAGAUUGAAUCUUUUUAUAGGAAUGAUGUAAUAUAUAUAUAUAUAUAUAUAUAUAUAGGUACAGUUGUAGUAUGGGCUACCUGUAGUGUACAAUGGGGUUUUGGUAUAUGUAAAUUAAUGUAGUACAAGUUUCUUUUAAGAAACAAACCAUAUUUUGUUAACUACAAGUUAUAAAGUUUAAUACAUGAUGUACUCCUUAUAGCAGUUUUUGCAUAUCCUCUUUUGUACAAAAUCGAGCAGGAACUCAACAUUUAAAUCUUUGAGAGCACUUAUACUGUGUUUGAGUAUCAAUUGUUUACUUUGAAGAAUAAAAAAAAAACUGGGGUGUGACACUAUACAUAAUCAUUUGUUUUCUCAUCAUUGGGACAUCAUCCUAGGUUCUUUCUUAGUUUAUUCUUUGUUCAUUUAGUUUCAUAUCAUCCUAGGUUCUAUUAUGGAGAUGGUUCUAUCUAGGUUUCUCCUUUCUUCCUUUAGUUUCUCAUUGUCGGUACACCAUCCUAGGUUCUAUCUCAGUUUUUUCUUUCUUCAUUUGGUUUCUUAGCAUUGAGACACUAUCCUAGGUUCUAUCAAACCUUAAUUGUGUGUUCCUUCGAUUUAUGAACCAAUUUGGGACACCAUGAUAGGUUUUAUUUUAGUUUAAUGUUUGUUCCUUUGGUUUCUCAUCACUUGGACAAUAUCCUAUCUUCUAUCUAUGCUUAUUGCUUGUUUAUUUGUUUUCUCAUCAUUAGGACACCCUCCUAGGCUCUAUCUAAGCUUAAAUGUUAGUUCCUUUCGUUUCUUAUCAAUAGGACUACAUCCUAGGUUGAACCUUAGUUUCUUCUCUCUUCAUGUGGUUUCUCAUCAUUGUGACACCAUCCUAUUCUAUCUCAGUUUUUUCUUUCUUCAUUUGUUACUUCGGGUUUCUGAACAUUGGGAUACCAUCCUAGGUUUAUUUUAAGUUUGAUGUUUUUUCCUUUGGUUUCUCAUCAUCGAUAAACCAUCCUAGGUUCUAUCUUAGUUUAUUAUUUUAGGUACAACCUAGAAUGGUGUCCAUAUGGUGAUAAAUCAAUGAAACUAAGAAUAAAAUUAGAUAAAACCUAAAAGGGUGUCCCAAUGAUAAGAAAGCAAAUGAACUAAGGUUAGAUAGAACCUAGGAUGGCGUCCUACUGAAAAGAAAUGAAAGGACCAAAGAAUAAAUUUAUAUAGAACCUACGAUUGUGUCCCAAUGACAAGAAUCCAAAGGAUCAAACAAUUGAGCUUAUAUAAUCUAGGAUGGUGUCCCAAUGACUAGAAACAAAAUGAACAAGAAUAAUUUGAGAUAGAACCAAGGAUGGUGUCCCAGUGAUUAGAAACCUAAGGAACAAACGAUUUAGCUUCAAUAGAACCUAGAAUGGUGUCCCAAUGAUCCGAAACCAAACAAACUAGGGAUUAAGCUUACAUAGACCUAGGAUGGCAUCCCAAUGAUGAUAAAUGAAAUGAACAAAGAAUAAACUGGGAUAGAAACUAGGAUGGUGUUGUAAUCCCUAGCACUAAUAAAUAAAAUAAGCAAUAAUAAUUAUUUUAGUACUUAACUUUAAACGUGCAUAAUUAGAUGUUAAAACUAGUUUAAUGUUAAUCAUGUUUAAUUAUGAAUUAAACUUUGAUUAAGGUUCAGUGGGAUUAGUUAAUGACUUAAGCAUGCUUAUUAGGUUCUUAUGGGCUGAUUAGAGUUAUGAAAACCUAAAGGACCAAUGGGUAAUUGUAAAGUGCAAUUAUGGAAAGUUGGGGUUGGUGGCAGCCAUGGCCUACCACCUCCUACUUGGCUGCAUGGAGACCCCUUUAUAAGGGGCUUAAGCUCGUUUUGCACCAUUUCACCUGAAGCAGCUUGGGUUAGAGAGAGGAUCUAGAGAGAGAAAGUGUAGAUUUGAGGUAAGCAAGUUGUUUAAUUUAGUAAUUUUGGUUCCUAAUGGUAUGUUAAAACAAAUUAAGGGUAAAAUUCAUGUAAAAGUUGAGUGUAAUUAGCUAUAAAAAUGUUUUAGUUAAAAAAAAAAUCACAAUACAUAAGAAUUAAAGUAUUUUAUUAAUGGUAAGAUCAGCAUAAAUCUUUGUUUAGUUUGGUUUGAUUCAAAAAUAGAUUAGUAAACAUGUGAUUAAUUAGGUUAUUUGGACACUUAGGUUAUGUUACUAGGUUAGGCUAUAGGAAAAAAAAAAAAAAAAACAAUUGGUGUUUGGUAAUUAAUAUGAGAAUUAAAAAUUAAUAACAGUAAGUUGUUAAAAAAUAGUAAGAAAGGAAAAUUUCAUAAGUUUUAAUUGAAUAAAUUUUCAUGGUUAAGAAACCUAAAUUAUGUUGUUUUAUUUCAGUUCCUUGUAAUAGGUAAAGAUCGCUUACAUAGGAGAAUCACAAAGGGAAAGUUCGUGUAAGGUAGGGAAUUUUAUACUGUUCCUUGGUGUAGAUGAUUUCGUACCUUGAAACAUAUACUAGAAUUUCAUGUCAUUUCUAUGAUUUCAUAAAAUAUUUUAAUGUGUCAUUAAAUCUCGGUUUAUUGUAUUGCAAUGUUACAAUGAGAUUGGAACAUAUAUUGGUAUGAAGACUCAUUGUUCCGUGUUGUGGAAAUGGUUCAUGGUGUGGUUGCAUUGUAAGAAGGAUAUGGAAUAACCACAGAUGAUAUUCAAAGAAUUGAUUGUGAGAAGUGUUUAUGUGAUGCUACAUGCAUUAUCCUUUGGUAUAUAGUUUAUGUGGGACCGUGGGUCCUUGGGUGAAAGUCCCUAAAUCCCUCGAGGAAGACACUCCGAUGUGGGUGUAUGGGGUUGGUCCUACCCCUGGGUUUUAGUCCCUAAAGACACGGGGUUGGUCCUGCCCUUGGGUAUGAGUCCCAGAAGACAUGGGGUUUGACUUACCCUUGGGUGAUGCCCCAGAAUAGUUAUUAUUAUAUUGACCUAGUAUCUUGUGGAGCAUUGAUAUCUGAUGUUUAGAUUGGUGGGGGUUAGCAAUUUAUCAGUUGUGAAAGGAUGGAAGAGGAAAAACAAAAAUGAAACUAGAAAACACAUGCAUACAUGUUCGAUAUGAUUGGAUAUUUAUUAAUGGUUAUAAAAUGUUUACCAUGCAUGCUAUUAAACAUUUAAUUCAAGGUUUAUAAGGGUAUGCUUAGGAUGAUUAUAAACUUUCCUACUGAGUUGUGAACUCACCCUAUCCUUUCCACCUUUAGAUGCAAGUCAGAAGACCUAUAUAGGAAAUAAUGCUUGAGCAAUUCUUUACUGUGAUUGGAUGUUGUUUGCUCGCAUUGAAAGUGUUUUGAGGCUUUGCUUUUGUAUUAAAGACUGAAUCUUUUUGUAGGAAUGAUGUAAUAUAUAUAUAUAUAUAUAUAUAUAUUUGUCAGGUACACUUGUAGUAUGGGCUACCCGUAGUGAACCAUGGGGUUUUCGUAAAUGCAAAUUAACUUAAUACAUGUUUCUUUUGUGAAAUGAAACAUAUUUUGUUAACUGAUAGUUACAAAGUUUAAUAUAAGAUGUACUCUUUAUAACAAGUUUUGCAUAUCCUCUUUUUGCACAAAAUCAAACAGGAACUCAACAUUUAAAUUUUUGUAUCCCCAUAUUUUUAAGAGCACUUAUACUGUCUUUGAGUAUCAAUUGUUCAGUUAAAAAAAAAAAAAAAAAAAAAACAGGCUGUGACAGGUGUUGCAUUGAUUCGAAAGAAAAUGAAGAAACGAUUAUGGUUAGAUAGAACAUAGGAUGGCUUUAUAAUGAAGAAAAACCAAAGGAACAAAGAAUAAACUAAGAUAAAACCUAGGAUAAUUUCCAAAUGAUGAGAAAAGAAAGGAACAAAGAGGAAACUGAUAUAGAACCUAGGGUUGUAUCCCAAUGAUAAGAAACAAAAGGAAGAAUCGAUUAAGCUUAGAUAGAACCUAGGAUUGCGUCCCAAUUAUGAGAAACGAAACGAACAAAAAAUAACCUAAGAUAAUACAUAGGAUGGUGUCGCAUUGAUGCUAUAGCAAAGGAAGAAACAAUUAAGGUUAGAAAGAACAUAGGAUGGUGUCCUAAUAAUUAGAAACAAAGGAACAAAGAAUAAACUAUGAUAGAACCUAGGAUGGUGUGCCAAUGAUGAGAAACCAAAGGAACAAAUGAUUAAGCUUAGACAAACCUAGGAUGGUGACCCAAUAAUGAGAAGACAAACAAUUGAACUUAGAACCUAGGAUAGCGUCCCAAGGAUGAGAAACGAAAUGAACAAUGAAUAAAAUGAGAUAGAACCUAGGAUUGUUUUCCCAAUGAUGAGAAACUAAUGGAACAAACUAUUAAGUUUAGACAGAACCUAAGAUGGCGUCCCAAUGUUGAGAAACCAAAUGAAUAACUAAUAAACUGAGAUAGAACUCAGGAUGGUGUCGCAUUAAUGCAAAGGCAAAGGAAAAAACAAUUAAGGUUAGAUAGAACAUAGGAUGACAUCCUAACGAUGAGAAACCAAACAAAUAAACAAUUAAGCUUAGAACCUAGGAUGGUGUCCUAAAGAUGAGAAACUAAAUGAACAAACGAUUAAGCUUUAGAUAGAACCUAGGAUGGUGUCCUAAUGAUGAGAAAUGAAAGGACCAAAGAAUAAACAUAGAUAUAACCUGCGAUGUUGUCCUAAUGACAAGAAUCCAGAGAACCAAAUGAUUAAGCUUAGAUAGAAUCCAGGAUGACAUCCCAAUGACUACAAAUAAACUAAACAAAGAAUAAACUAAUAUAGAAUCUAGGAUGGUGUCCCCAUGAUGAGAAACCAAAGGAACAAAGAAGAAAUUUAGAACCUAGGAUGGUGUUCCAGUGAUGAGAAACCAAAGGAACAAAUGAUUGAGCUUAGAUAGUACCUAGGAUGGCAUCCCAUUGAUGAGAAACGAAAUGAAUUGGGAUAGAACUUAGGAUGGUGUCCUAAUGAUGAGAAACCAAAGGAACAAUGAAGAAACUUAGAUAAAACUUAGGAUGGUAUCCUAAAGAUGAGAAACCAAAAGGAAUAAACGAUUAAACUUAGAUAGAAGCCAGGAUGGCGUUCCAAUGAUAAGAAACCAAAGGAAAAACCAAAGGAAGUGCUUAUGUGAUGCUACAGGCCUUAUCAUUUGAUAUAUUGUUUAUGUGGGACCGUGGGUUCUUGGGUGAAAGUUCCUAAAGCCCUCGAGGAAGACACUCCGAUGUGGGUGUAUGGGGUUGGUCCUGCCCCUGGGUUUUAGUCCCUAAAGACACGAGGUUGGUCCUGCCCUUGGGUAUGAGUCCCAAAAGACACGGGGUAUGACUUGCCCUUGGGUGAUGUCCCAGAAUAGUCAUUACUAUAUUGAUCGAGUGUCUUGUGGAGCAUUGAUAUCUGCUGUGUAGAUUGUUGGGAGUCAGCAAUUUAUCAGUUGUGAAAGGAUGGAUGGGGAAAAGUAAUGAUAAAACCAACAAACACAUGCAUAUAUGUUUGACAUGAUUACACAUUUGUUAAUGGUUAUGAAAUGUUUAUCAUGCAUGUUAUUAAAUGUUUAAUUCAAGGUUUUUAAGGGUAUACUUAGGAUGGUUAUAAACUUUCCUACUAAGUUGUGAACUCACCCUAUCCCUUCCACCUCUAGAUGCAGGUCAGAAGACCUAUGCAGGAAAGAAUGCUUGAGCAAUGCUUUACUGUGAUUGGAUGCUGUUUGCUCAUAUUGAAAGUCUUUUGAGGCCAUGCCUUUUGUAUCAAGACUAAACCUUUUGUUGGAAUGAUGUAAUGUAUAUAUUUGUCAGAUACACUUGUAGUAUGGGCUACCCGUAGUAAACAAUGGGGUUUGGUAUAUGUAAAUUAAUGUUGUACAAGUUUCUUUUGUGAAACAAAACAUAUUUUGUUAACUUAAUAGUCACAAUGUUUAAUACAGGAUGUACUCUUUAUAACAGGUUUUCCAUAUCCUCUUUUUGAACAAAUUCAAGUAGGAACUCAACAUUUAAAUUUUUGAGAGUACUUAUACUAUAUUUGAGUAUCAAUUCUUUAGUUGAAGAAUAAAUAAUAAUAAUAAUAAUAAGAAAAAAAAAAUUGGGGUGUGACAUUAAGCACUACAAUUAUCCAACUUUACAAGAUAAAAUUUUAAUAGCAUGGUAAAUAACCUAAUAACACAAAACCUAAAACAAGAUGAUUAAGUACUACAAUUAUCAAACUUUGUAAGAUAAAACAUCAUGACAUCAAAUCAAUCAAACUAAUUAAACUAAUUAAUUAAAACUAUAAAACUCGUGAAUUAAGUUGAAUCAAAUAAACUAAAAUGACACAAGCUUCAAAAUAAAAAUUUUAUCCUACAAAACAAUUAAUCUAGUGAGCUAUAAUAAUAAUAAAAAAAUUAUAACCUUUCUAUAUGAUACAAUAAAUAAAAAAUGAAACUAAAAACAAUUCUAACUUUUUAAUAUAAUAUGAUGAACUAAAAAAACUAAACUAAAAAAAUUAAAACCUUUUAAUAUAAUAUGAUAAAUUAAAAACUAAACAAAAAAUUUAUACCUUUCAAUAUAUAUAUAAUUAUUCAAAACCAAACUAAAAAAAAUCAACUUGUCAAACAUAUAUAAUUAAUCAAAAACCAAACUAAAAAAAAUCAACUUACCUUCCCAUUGUUGCGUGUGUGAAUCUCUUCUCCAUUAUGGUGCAUUGAAACAAACAACCGCUUUUCUUAAGUCCAACGUGCGGCUACUACCACCAUCUUAUGGUGUGUCCUAUGGAUAUCUUUUCAACUGUGUAUGGCAGCCUUUAUGUGGCUGUGUGUGGAGAAUUUUCUCCAAUGGAGUCCCAUGCUGCUGCUUCUUGUGGGAUACCACCCAAACUGUGGUGUGUGGUUGCCUCUUCUAUGCGUGCCUAUUGCAACCAUAAUUUUUCAAAACUAAAUUAACCAUGAGAUCAAAAGAAUAACCAAACUAAUGAUUUUUAAAAAUAACUAAACCAAGCAUAGUAUCAACAAAGCAACCAAACUAAUAAUUUUUUAAAACUAAACUAAACAUGAGAUUAAUGGAAUAACCACAUACUAAUGAUUUUUAAAAGAAACUAAACCAACUAUAAAAGCAACAAAGCAACCAAACUAAUAAUUUUUAUAAAUUAAAAUAACCAUGAGAUCAAAAGAAUAACUAAGCUAAUGAUUUUUAAAAAUAACUAAACUAAGCAUAGUAUCAACAAAGCAACCAAACUAAUAAAUUUUUUUUAAACUAAACUAAACAUAAGAUUAAAAAAAUAACAAAACUAAUGAUUUUUAAUAGAAUUAAACCAAACAAAACAUCAACAAAACAACCAAACUAAUAUUUUCAAAAACUAAACUAAACAUGAGAUUAACGGAAUAACCAAACUAAUUAUUUUGACAAGAAACUAAACUAAGCAUGAUUUCAACAGAGCAACAAAACUAAUAAUUUUUCAAAACUAAACUAAAUAUGAGAUCAAUUGAAUAACUAAACAAAUGACUUAUUAAAGAAACUAAAGUAUAAUAUCAACAAGACAACCAAAUUAAUAAUUUUUAAAACCAAAACUAAAUAUGAGAUUAACUAAAUUACUAAAAUAAGAUUUAUUCUCUUUUUUUUAUAAAAAAAAAAAAAAAUUGAACUAGGCAUGACAUCAACAAAGGACGGUAACUUGUAAUUUUUAAAAACUAAACAAAACAUGAGAUCAACCAAAUAACUAAACUAAUGUGUUUUAAAGGAAACUAAACUGUGCAUUAUAUCAACAAAGCAACCAAACUAAUAAUUUUUCAAAACUAAAGUAAGUAUGAGAUCAAAAGAAUAACCAAACUAAUGAUUUUUAAAAGAAACUAAACUAAUCAUAGUAUUAACAAAUCAAUUAUACUAAUAACUUUUAAAAACUAAACUAAACAUGAUAUUAAUGGAAUAACCAAACUAAUGAUUUUUAAAAGAAACUAAACUAAUCAUAGUAUUAAUAAAUCAAUUAUACUAAUAACUUUUAAAAACUAAACUAAACAUGAUAUUAAUGGAAUAACCAAACUAAUGAUUUUUAAAAGAAACUAAACUAAUCAUAGUAUUAACAAAUCAAUUAUACUAAUAACUUUUAAAAACUAAACUAAACAUGAUAUUAAUGGAAUAACCAAACUAAUGAUUUUUAAAAGAAACUAAACUCAGCAUAAUAUCAACAAAGUAGCAAAACUAAUAAUUUUUACAAACUAAAUAAAGCAUGAGAUAAAAAGAAUAGCCACACUAAUGAUUUUAAAAAGAAAUUAAACUAAGUAUAAUAAAGCAACUAAACUAAAAUAAUUUUUUAAAAUAAACUAAAUAUGAGAUUAACAGAAUAACCAAACUAAUGAUUUUUAAUAGAAUUAAACCAAGAAUAACAUCAACAAAGUAACCAAACUAAUCAUUUUUAAAAACUAAACUAAACAUUGGAUUAACAUAAUAACCAAAUUAAUGAUUUUGGAAAGAAACUAAACUAAGCAUGAUUUCAACAAAGAAACCAAACUAAUAAUUUCUAAAAAUUAAACUAAGCAUGAGAUGAACAAAAUAACCUAACGAAUGAUUUUUAAAAGAAUUAAACCAAGCAUAAUAUCAACAGAGUAACAAAACUAAUAAUUUUUUAAACCUAAACUAAAUAUGAGAUCAACUGAACAACUAAACUAAUGAUUUUUAAAAGAAACAAAACCAAGCAUAAUAUUAAGAAAGUAACAAAACUAAUAAUUUUUAAAAACUAGACCAAACAGGAGAUCAACAAAAUAAACAAACUAAUGAUUAUUUUUUUCAAAAAAAAAAAAAAAAACUAAACUAAGCAUAAUAUAAACAAAGAAACCAAACUAAUAAUUUUUCAAAACUAAACUAAGCAUGAGCAAGGAUUGAAAUAUCGGUAAAUAUGGAUAUAUCGAUACUUGGAUUUUAUGGAUAUAUCAGAAAUAUCGAAGAAAUAUCGGUGGAUAUUUUUCAUCAAAUAUCGGUGAGACAAAAAUUAUCCAAAAUUGAUGGGAAUGCAUAGAAAAAUCCAAAGAAUGAUAAAAUAAGGAAGAAUAUACAUGUUAAAGUUAUUUUAUAAGUGUAAUUGACAUAAAUAUGGUCAAAUAAAAAAAUAUCGGUAAACAGUUUACGAUACUUGGAUUUUAAGAAUAGAAAAUAUGAAAUUUGGAAUUUUACACUUAGAAAGUUAGAAUUGAGUUAAGAAAUAUUUGAUUUUAUUAAAUGAAAACAAUUUACACAUAAACAUAAUACAUAUGAUAUUGCAAUGGUCCUUAAUACCAAAAUGAAGAUCGAUGUGGUUCCAUCAUAUUGUUAUUGUUAAAUGAAGGGAGCCCAUCUUGUUGAAGACAAUAUUCAUACCAGGACAUGGAGUUUCGAUAGUAUUGAUUGUAUGUACGAACAUGCCAUGCAUAAAUUUCUUGAGUCCUACCGACAACCUGUCCAUGGAUGGGAAAUCCAGGGUUUUCCCAUGUGCUCGUUUGAAAUCCUUGUUGUUGCAGUUGAUGUGGAAGGUAGUAUGGCAUUUGUGUGGAAGAAGGAUAGUUAUACCUUUCAUACUCUUCAUCAGUGGAACUUGAAAGAUUUUGAGGAGGCUGACCAUAACUCAUUGCAUAAGGGACAUAAAUGUUGGCUUUGUUUGAUGAAUCACUGAAUUGAGUCUCUACACUCAUCGACUCAAAACUGGCCGACAAUGAGUCCUCGUUGUAUGGCAUCAUCCUUCGUUGUCUUCCUCUAUAUGGCUUUCCAAUGGCUCCAACACCUAGACCGACUCUUCUAGAGCCGUGGUCUUCAUCUUGAGUACAAUGUGUGAAAUCAUCUUCACAAGUAAAUGCCAAUGGUUUUCCACUUUGUUGUUGUUGUUGUCUAACAUCCCCUUCAUCAUUUCUAGGGUCGCUACCAUCAUUGGUCCCCUCUCCUCUUGAACCAUCAUAACCGAAAGCGGAAGUACCAGUAGCACUAGGUCUACUACUAUGUUCAACACUUGUGGAGUCAAAAGAAGGUCGAGAAGUGACUGACGGCUGAGAAAUUCCUUGUCGAAAUGAAUCUCUCAUGUCUUGGCUGAAACUAUCAGUAUGAACUUCUUCGGAUAACACUCGAUCAACGUCAACACCUGCUUCUCGGACAUGUGCGGCAAUUCAUGGGCCGGGAUUUCCAUCUUCAUCAUCUAAAUGAAGAGGUCUAACCCAUUGAAACAAUUGGUUAUCUUCUUCUUCACCAACCUCAGUUGCAAUGUCAAGUAAAUCGAGGUAAUCUUUCUCUGCAACUUUGUCAUGUUCUGCUUCCAUGUCACAUAUCUUUAGUUUCAUGUUAUAAUAACAGAAAACUAAUUGUUGGAGCAUUGGGUAAGCAAGCCGAUUUCUUUGUUUUGUAUGAAUUAAGGCAAACGUGCUCCAAUUUCUCUCACAAGCUGAAGAUGAUGCAGUUUGCGAUAAAACCUUGAUGGCCAACCUUCUUAAUGUAGGAGUGUGAUUUCCAUACAUGAACCACCAUUCAGCUACAACCAAAUAAAUGAUAUCAAUACUUAUACUGGAAAGCUACAAUAAUAUGCUAAUGAAAUGAAUUAUUAAUUCACAAAUAAUGCUCACCGGGAACCAUUUCUAACCUCGAAGCAAUCGCUGCUCGAUCACUGAAUCCUUUUUUUGCAUCUCGGAAUAGUAUAAUCUACAUAUUAAAUAAUUGAAAGUGAAAAAAUUGAGUAAAUGAAAUUCAAUUAUUUAAUUUAUAUUAUAACUCUAAUAAUUUACCUCAUUUCCAAAUUGACUAAGACCUUUUGAUGUAGGAUCUAAUUUUGCAAAGACUUCAUGAACAACUUGAAGUAGAUCAGGAUCAAUACCAACUCCACGUUUAUAUUGAAAUCUUGGAUUAAGAAAGAAUGCUACAAUAGUAAAGUAGAAAUGUAAAAUUAGAAUGUUAUGAAAGACACAUAUUAAAUACCAAUAAAUUUCGAAGAUGAAUAAUACUUACCUGCUGCAUGAAGAGGAUGUUUAAGAGUUCUAUCCCAACGAUCUGCAAUUAUUUCCAACACCCAUUCUUUAGCAUUAAGUCAAAUGAGGUUAUCUUUCAUAACUCGAAUCAAUUCAUACACAAAUGGCAUUGUAGGAACAACUUCUGAAUCGACAAUGCGAAGAAUUGUGUAUAGCGCCUCAUAUAUUGAUACUAGUUUUCCCACUCUUUCCUAGUUCGCAUGGUCAAACAUAAGUGAUUCAACUUCUUUGCUAAUUAAUGUGCGACUUAAGUUGUGUUGUGCCCAUUCAUCACUGAUAAACACUUUCUUCAAGUUUACUUUCUUUUUCAAAAGAUUGUCGAGGGCUAUAUAAUUGGUUGCAAAUCUUGUUGUUCCAGGACGAACUAUGUCUCCACCACACACCUUCCGCAUCUACACAAGCAACCAACUAUGGUUAUAAAUGAAGUUGGUUAUCUUUCGAGCCUUUGUAAUCACAUAUGCAACACUCGUCCUUUUACUGAUGUCUUCGAACAUUAAGUUGAUGCAAUGUGCUACACACAGAGUCCAAUAAAGAUUGUAUUUCUUCAUUAACAACUUCCCCGCCUUCACGAAUGCUGACCCAUUAUCUGUAACUAUUUGGACCACAUUUUGUUUGCCAACUUUCUUGAUCACAUCCUUUAACAAACCAUAUAUGUAUUUGUUGUCCUUUAUAUUAUUUGAUGCAUCAACAGAUUUGAGGAAGAUUAUGCUACCUUUUGAAUAUACCAUGAAAUUAAUUAUGCUUAAUUUCAUGGGCCUAGUCCAUCCGUCAGACAUAAUCGUGCAUCCAUAAGUCUUCCACUUUUCUCUUUGAAUAUUGACAUAAGCUUCCAUGUCUUUGUACUCCAUAUCCAAAUACUUGUGUUUGAUUUCAUAAGGAGACGGUGGUUCUAUACCCAUACCUACCAUCCAUAUAUAAUUAAAGCAUAUAAGAACAUUUGUGGUAAUCAUACUAUAUAAAUAGUAAUGAUAUUGUUAAAAUGAAUACAACUUUUAAAAUUAUAGUAAUUACCUGCAUAUUGUGCACCAACAAUCAUGUUCUUGAAGUGGUGAGAGUCUGUUUUACUGGGCGGAACACUCUCAUAUAUGAACUUACUGAUCAAACGUCCCAUGGUUUCCUUGAUGGCACCACAUUUGAAAAGAUUUUUCAUAUUUUUCUAUCUAGCUGCUGAAGAUUUGUACAAUGAGGGUGCAUCAGGCAGUGAUGGAUCUGAAUAUCGAACACUUUGCGAUUUUCACAUUUACCUUGUUGUUGGAUUGGUUGGAUGUGAAGACUCACCUAUUAUAAUUAUUAAAAUUAAACAUAUAUGUUAAUUUAAUAUUAUUGAUAAAGUUGAUAAGAAACAGUAAUAAUUCAAAUUAAUAUUAUACCUAUUUUUCUUUUGCCUUUUAUAAAAUGUUCUUCUUGUUGUCGAUUCCAUUCAGCAGCUUUUGAUGCUCGAACCGCCUCUCUAUAAGCAUGUCUCUCAUCAGGGCGCAUGUCAGCCGGAUACAUAUACACAUCAUCAUCUCCAUCAUCAUCAUCACCACCAAGGUUCUCCUCAUCGUCCUCAUCAAUUACAUGCCUAUGUCUUCUUCCCAUUGUGUCUCGCAGUUCAGAUCGAAUCUCUUCUAUAUCUGCAGCUUUCUUCGCUUUUGCCUUAUUUUUUUUCUCUAGAAGUCGUCUUAUUUCUUAUUUCACUUCUAGAGGCACGCUAGGACACUUUUUUGUAUUUGAAUUAGGGUCUGUAUGUGAUAGGUGAAAUUUAAAACGAGUAAUCCCACCACUCUUUAUUGCUAACCCACAGUAAUUGCAUAUUGUUCCAUUUUUGUUCCCUUCCAUAGGUGUACAAUAUUUCCAACAAGGAUCUCGACCCAUGAUACCGCUUUCACUAGCCAUUUUCUAAAAUUGAAUUAUGAAACUAAUAUCAAAUUUAAAAUUAUUAAAGAUAAAACAUGUAAGAAAUUUAAUAUUCAUGAAAUUGAUAAGAACUAAUAAAAAUUGAAAUUAAAAUUGAAUUAUGCAUAUAUGAAAUAGAUAAACAUUACAAUAAAAUUUCAAUAUGAAUUAAAUUAAAUUAAAUUUGCAUAUUCAUGAAAUUGAUGAGAAUCAUUACUGAUAAAAAUUAAAAUUAAAAUUGAAUUAUGCAUAUAUGAAAUAGAUAAACAUUACAAUAAAAUUUUGAUAAGAAUUAAAUUAAAUUAAAUUAAAUUUGCAUAUUCAUGAAAUUGAUAAGAAUCAUUACUAAAAAAAAUUAAAAUUAAAAUUGAAUUAUGCAUAUAUGAAAUAGAUAAACAUUACAACAAAAUUUUGACAAGAAUUAAAUUAAAUUUCCAUAUUCAUGAAAUUGAUAAGAAUUAAAUUAAAUUAAAUUAAAUUUGCAUAUUCAUGAAAUUGAUAAGAAUCAUUACUAAUAAAAAUUAAAAUUGAAUUAUGCAUAAUAAAAAUAAAUUUUAUGAAAGGUAAGACAUGCCUUAAUUAGCCUUGACUUGGAGUUAAUCCCCUUCAUCACCAAAUUUUCAAAAUAAAAAAAUUUUGCUAGGUCAUAUAAGAAUUUUGAUGUAUGAAAUGGAAUGGAAUGUGGGUACUUAUAGGAAUUUUUUUGUCAAACUAGCUGUUGGAUGGUCAAAUAGCCGUUAUAAAUUAAUUUUAAUCGUUGGCUCAAAAUUUGGUUCAAAUUUCACCAUUAGAUAUUCAUAUAACCGUUGGAAACACUCCAUAGCCCUUGGAUAAAGUGAAGAUUGAUUUUCCACCAUUGGAUCACAAAUAUAAUCGUUGGAGGCCUUUACAAAUACACGAGUGAAAUCUGGGCCAUCAGAUCCUCAAAAAUUCAAAUUUCGCCGUCAGAUCAAAGCUGUAAAAAAAUUGCCGAUUAUUUCAAAAAAUCGCCAAUAUAUCGGUAAAAUCGUCGAUUAAUCGCCGAUUUUUUAGGCUCCUCCUCCGGCUUCUCUGCGCGUGCCUCCACUCGCGAUUUUUUGCCGAUUUAUCAGUGCUUCACCGAUAUAUCGGCGAUUUUGCCGAUUUUUCCGUCGAUCGAUAAUCGGUGAUGAUUAUCGUUUCGGUGCCGCCUGAUAUCCGAUAUUUCCUGAUUUUUCAAUCCCUGAGCAUGAGAUCAAAAGAAUAACCAAACUAAUGACUUUUAAAAGAAACAAAACUAAGUAUAACAUCAACAAAGCAAUCAAAAUAAUUAUUUUUAAAAACUAAACUAAACAUUGUUUUAACGAAAAAAACCAAACUAAUAAUGUUUAAAAGAAACUAAACUAAGUAUAAUUUCAACAAAGCAAUAUAACUAUUAAUUUUUAUGCACUAAACUAAGCAUAGGAUCAAAAGAGUAAUCAAACUAAUGAUUUUUAAAAGAAACUAAACAAAGUAUAGCAUCAACAAAGCAACCAAACUAAUAAUGUUUUAAAAACUAAACUAAACAUUGUUUCAACAGAAUAACCAAACUAAUGAUGUUUAAAAGAAACUAAAGUAAGUAUAAUAUCAACAAAACAACCAAAUUAAUACUUUUUAUAAACUAAACUAAGCAUGAGAUCAAAAGAGUAACAAAACUAAUGAUUUAAAAAAAAACUAAACAAAGUAUAGCAUCAACAAAGCAACCAAACUAAUAUUUUUUUUUUAAACUAAACUAAACAUUGUUUCAACGGAAUAACCAAACUAAUUGAUGAGGACACAACUAGCAAAUGGAAUGCAAAUCCUAUUCAAGUUCCAGUUAGUUCGGUUACAAGGGCUCGAGCUAAAAAAGUUCAAGGAAACUCUCAAUGGACUGAUUCACAAUAUUUAAGCUAAGGUGAAUUCGUGGAGGCCCAAGAAAGAUGCUCUACAUGUUCCACAAGGUUGGAUUUUCACGAUUCAAGUUUUGGAAUAAUCUAGAUGAAUCCAUCAAGGAGAACAGAUCACAAAUUGCGUGGAUUGAAUAGAGUUUUCUAAAUUAGUGAUUACCCAAUUUUUGACUCAUCAAGGAGAUUGGCUGGCGCAAUCUAAAGCAAUUUUUAAGAUUGCUAAAUUACGUUUCUUAUUUAUUAUUAUAUUUUAAUUUUCAAAUUUUAUGGGGAAAUAAUAAAUUAGAAAUUCCCUUGUUUCUUUUUUACUUUGGGGUAGGCAUGAUUUUAGGAAAUAAUGGAUUCAAUUUUUAGAAUCCAACUCAAGAUAUUUUAGUUUCCCAUUUCUAGCUAUUUGCAAAAUCUAGGCAAAAUAUUUGGGGAUUUUCUAACUGCCAGAUUUGUGAACCUCUUUGUAUUUAAAUAACCAUCAACUUAUUGAAAAAUAAUACAGAUUUCAUUCAUAAUUUUGUGAGAGAAAAUUCUCUUUAGUUCUUUUAGAACUCUUUGAACUUAUCGGAAAGAUUUCUGUGGCGUUCUCCUUCGACUUAUCAAUCAAUCCUUUCAUAAUUGAUUGUGGCGUCUUCAUUAUACCAAGGUUCUUGAUUCCAUAUAGGCAAUGGAUCGCGGUUUCAUACAAAUCUGUUUCCAGACGAUCUUAGAGCCAUUCUUGAUCCACAAGUUUCUCAAUUUUGUGGUGUGGAUCAUAUCACUAUUAAUGUUUAAAAGAAACUAAACUAAGUAUAAUAUCAACAAAACAACCAAACUAAUAAUUUUUAUAAACUAAACUAAGUAUGAGAUCAAAAGAAUUACCAAACUAAUAUCAACAAAGCAACCAAACUAAUAAUUUUUAAAAACUAAACCAAACAUGAGAUCAACAUAAUAACUAAAUUAAUGUGUUUUAAAGGAAACUAAAUUGUGCAUUAUAUCAAAAAAGGAACCAAACCAAUAAUUUUCAAAACUAAACUAAUCUUGAGAUCAAAAGAAUAACCAAACUAAUUAUUUUAAAAAAAAACUAAACUAAGCAUAGUAUCAACGAAUCAAUGAUACUAAUAACUUUUAAGAACUAAAUUAAACAUGAGAUCAACGGACUAACUGAACUAAUGAUUUUUAAAAGAAACUAAAUUAAGUGUGAGAUUAACAAAGUAACCAAAUUGAUGAUUUUUAAAAGAAUUAUACCAAGCAUAACAUCAAUAAAACAACCAAACUAAUAAUUUUUUGAAAACUAAACUAAACAUAAGAUUAAUGGAAUAACCAAUGAUUUUUAAAAGACACUAAACUCAACAUAAUAUCAACAAAGGACCAAAACUAAUAUUUUUUAAAAACUAAAUUAAGCAUGAGAUAAAAAGAAUAGAAAAACUAAUGAUUUUUCAGAGAAACUAAACUAAGUAUAUCAACAAAACAAUUAAACCAAUAAUUUUUUAAAACUAAACUAAAUAUGAGAUUAAUAGAAUACUCAAACUAAUGAUUUUUAAGAGAAUUAAACCAAGCAUAACAUCAACAAAGCAACCAAACUAAUAAUUUUUAAAAAUUAAACUAAAUAUUAUUUCAACAGAAUAACCAAACUAAUUAUUUUGAAAAGAAACUAAACUAAGCAUGAUUUCAACAAGAAACCAAACUAAUAAUUUCUAAAAAUUAAACUCAGCACGAGAUUUAUAGAAUAACCAAACAAAUGAUAUAUAAAAGAAUUAAACCAAGUAUAAUAUCAAUAGAGCAACAAAACUAAUAAUUUUUUAAACCUCAACUAAAUAUGAGAUAAACUGAAAAACUAGACAAAACAUAAUGAUUUUUAAAGGAAACUAAACUAAGCAUAAUAUCAACGAACCAACCAUACUAAUAAUUUUUAAAAACUAGACUAAACAUGAGAUCAACAAAAUAACCAAACUAAUGAUUUUUUUUUAUUUAAAAAAAAAAACUAAACUAAGCAUAAUAUCAACAAAGAAACAAAACUAAAUUAAGCAUGAGAUUAAAAAAAAUAACCAUGCUAAUCAUUUUUAAAAUAAACUAAAUUAAGCACAAUAUCAACAAAGCACCCAAAUUAAUAAUUUUUUACAAACUAAACUAAACUAAACAUGAGAUUAAUGGAAUAACCACAUAACUAAUGAUUUUUAAAAGAAACUAAGCUAAGUAUAAUAUCAACAAAGCAACCAAACUAAUAAUUUUUAUAAACUAAACUAAGCAUGAGGUGAAAGGAAUAACCAAACUAAUGAUUUUUUUUUUUAAAAAAAAAACAAAAACUAAAGUAAGCAUAAUAUCAACAAAGAAACCAAAGUAAUAAUUUUUCAAAACUAAACUAAACAUGAGAUUAACUGACUUUUUAAAAGAAACUAAACUUAGUAUAAUAUCAUGAAAGUAAGCAAACUAAUAAUGCUUAAAAACUAAACUAAGUGUGAGAUUAAUUGAGUAAUCAAACUAAUGAUUUUUAAAAGAAUUAUACCAAGCAUAACCAAGGUUUAAAAUAUCGAUAAACACGGAUAUAUCGGUACUUGGAUUUUACGGAUAUAUUGAAAAUAUUGGAGAAAUAUCGAUGGAUAUUUUGAACAAAAUAUCAAUAGAAGAGAAAUAGUUCAAAAUUCAUGAAAAUGUUUAGAAAACUUUAAAAAAAUGAUAAAAUAAGUAAAAAUACAUAUAUUAAAGUUAUUUUGUAAGUGUAAUUAACAUAAAUACGAUUAUAGUUAAUAUUUAUCAAAUUUUUAUUAAAAAAAUUAGCUUAAAUUCCUUUAAUAUAUUUAUUUUCAUUUAUUUUAAAAAUUAAAAAUACUUUUAUUAAAACAUGUUUUAUUACAUUUUAAAUAAAAAUUUAAAUUGAUUUAUAUAAAAUAUUUUAUUUGAGAUUUAAUUUCUAAAAUUUUAUUAUAAAUAUGUGGUGACAACUUUUUUUAUUAACAUUAAUUUGUAUAAAUAAUUAAAAUUAUUAUUAAUUUAUCUUAUCAAAUUAAUUUUAAUUUAUAAAAUAUUCAGACUUCAUUAAUUUUUUUAUAUUGUAACAAUUUUUUAGUGAAAUUAUAUUUUUAAAAUAUAAAAUUAAAAGAAUAAAAAAAAAAUUAAAAGUGAGGUGAUAAUAAUUUUUUAAAAUAGGAUUAAUGAGAUAAAUAUGAAAAGUAGUUAAAAAUAAAAGGAUAAUAUAAAAUAAAAUAAUUAAUUAAAAAAUAUAAAUAAUUUAAAAAAAAUUCAAACAAUCAGCGAUUUUUUGUGCUUUCCCUGCUUGUCAUCGCAUGUCACCCCCACGCUCGGUUUUUUUCGUCGAUAUAUUGCUUUUAAACCGAUUUUUAAAAGAAACUAAACAAAACAUAAUAUGAACAAAACAACCAAACUAAUAAUUUUUUAGAAACUAAACUAAAUGUGAGAUCAACAAAAUAACAAAACUAAUGAUUUUUAAUAUAAUUAAACUAAGCAAAAUAUCAACAAAGCAGCCAAACUAAUAGUUUUCAAAAACUAAACCAAACAUGAGAUCAACAAAAUAACCCAACUAAUGAUUUUUAAUAGAGAUUAAACAAAUAAUCUAACCAAUGAUUUUUAAGAUAAUUAAACCAAACAAAUUGACAGAGCAACCAAACUAAUAAUUUUUCAAAACUAAACUAAAUGAGAUGAAUUGAAUAACUAAACUAAUGUCACAUUAAAGAAACUAAACUAAGCAUAAUAUCAGCAAAGUAACCAAACUAAUAAUUCUUAAAACCAAAACUAAAAACGAGAUUAACUAAUUAACUAAACUAAACUAAUGAUUUUAAAAAAAAAAUUGAACAAACCAUGACAUCAACAAAGCAACCAAACUAAUAAUUUUUAAAAACUAAACAAAACAUGAUAUCAACAUAAUAACUAAACUAAUGUAUUCUAAAGAAAACAAAAUUGUGCAUUAUAUCAAUAGAGCAACAAAACUUAUAAUUUUUCAAAACUAAACUAAGCAUAAGAUCAAAAGGAUAACUAAACUAAUGAUUUUUAAAAGAAACUAAACGAAGCAUAGUAUCGGCAAAUAAACCAUACUAAUAACUUUUAAAAAUUAAACUAAAUAUGAGAUCAACGGACUAACCGAACUAAUGAUUUUUAAAAGAAACUAAACUAAGCAUUGUAUCAACUAAACAAUCAAACUAAUAAUUUUUAUAAACUAAAUUAAGCAUGGGAUCAAUAGAAUAACCAAACUAAUAAUCUUUUUAAAAGUAAACUAAACAAGAUAUCAACGCACUAACCGAACUACUAAUUUUUAAAAGAAAAUAAACUUAGCAUAAUAUCAUGAAAGCAAGAAAACGAAUAAUGUUUAAAAACUAAACUAAGUGUGAGAUUAAUAGAGUAACCAAACUAAUGGUUCUUAAAAGAAUUAUACCAAGCACAACAUCAACAAACCAACCAAACUAAUAAUUUUUUAAAAAGUAAACUAAACAUGAGAUCAAAAAAUUAACCAAACUAAUGAUUUUUAAAAGAAACUAAACUAAGCAUUGUAUCAACAAAACAAUCAAACUAAUAAUUUUUAUAAACUAAAUUAAGCAUGAGAUCAAUAGAAUAGUCAAACUAAUGAUCUUUUUAAAACUAAACUAAACAAGAUAUCAACGGACUAACCGAACUACUGAUUUUUAAAAGAAACUAAACUUAGUAUAAUAUCAUGAAAGCAAACAAACUAAUCAUGUUUAAAAACUAAACUAAGUGUGAGAUAAACAUAGUAACCAAACUAAUAAUUUUUAUUUUUUAUUUUAAAAACCAACUAAACUAAGCAGAAUAUCAAUAGAGCAACCAAACUAAUCAUUUUUCAAAACUAAACUAAGCAAGAGGUCUAAAGAAUAACCAAACUAAUGAUUUUUAUAAGAAAGUAACUAAGCAUAAUAUCAACAAAGCAAUAAAACUCAUAAUUUUUUAACAUAACUAAUGAUUCCUAACAUAACUAAUGUGUUUUAAAAGAAAACUAAAUUGUGCAUUAUAUCAACAAAGCAACCAAACUAAUAAUUUUUCAAAACUAAACUAAGCUGAGAUUAAAAGAAUAACCAAACUAAUGAUUUUUAAAAGAACCUAAACUCAACAUAAUAUCAACAAAGCAACAAAACUAAUAAUUUAUAAAUACUAAAUUAAGCAUGAUAUAAAAAGAAUUGCCAAACUAAUGAUUUUUCAAAGGAACUAAACUAAGCAUAAUAUUAACAAAGCAACUAAACGAAUAAUUUUUUUAAAACCAAACUAAACAUGAGAUUAACAGAAUAACCAAACAAAUAAUUUUUAAUAAAAUUAAACCAGACAUAACAUCAACAAAGCAACCAAACUAAUAAUUUUUAAAAACUAAACUAAGCAUGGGAUCAAAAUAAUAACCAAACUAAUGAUUUUUAAAAGAAACUAAACUAAACAUAGUAUCAACAAAUAAACCAUACUAAUAACUUUUAAAAACUAAACUAAACAUGAGAUUAACAGACUAAUUGAACUAAUGAUUUUUAAAAGAAACUAAACUUAGUAUAAAUAAUAUCAUGAAAGCAAACAAACUAAUAAUGUUUAAAACUAAACUAAGUGUGAGAUUAAUAGAGUAACCAAACUAAUGAUUUUUAAAAGAAUUGUACCAAGCUUAACAUCAACAAAGCGACCAAACUAAUAAUUUUUUAAAAAUUAAACUAAACAUUAGAUUAAUGGAAUAACCAAACUAAAGAUUUUUAAUAGAAUUAAACCAAACAUAUAAUAUCAAUAGAGCAACCAAACUAAUAAUUUUUUAAACCUAAACUAAUUAUGAGAUCAAUUGAAUAACUAAACUAAUAAUUUUUAAAAGAAAAUAAACUAAGCAUAAUAUUAACAAAGUAAUUAAACUAAUAAUUUUUUAAAACUAGACCAAACAUGAAAUCAACAGAACAACCAAACUAAUGAUUUUUUUUUUUUUUAAACAAACUAAACUAAGCAUUAGAUCAAAAGAACCAAACUAAUGAUUUUUAAAAGAAACUAAACUAAGCAUAGUAUCAACAAAGAAACCAAACUAAUAGUUUUUUUUUUCAAAUAAAUUAAACAUGAGAUCAAUGGACUAACCAAACUAAUAAUUUUUAAAAAGUAAACUAAACAUGAUAUCAACAAAAUAACCAACCUAAUGAUUUUUAAAACAAACUAAACUAAAAGUGAUAUCCACAAAGGAACCAAACUGAUAAUGUUUAAAAACUAAACUAAGCAUGAGAUCAAAAGAAUAAUCAAACAAAUGAUUUUUAAAAGAAUUAAACUAAAAUGAUAUCAAUAAAGCAACCAAAUUAAUAAAUUUUUAAAAACUAAAUUAAACAUGAGAUUAAUAGAAUAACCAAACUAAUGGUUUUUAAAAGAAACAAAGCUAAACAUAAUAUCAACAAAGCAACCAAACUAAUAAUUUUUAAAAAUUAAAUUAAACAUGAGAUCAAUAGAAUAACCAAACUACUAAUUUUAAAAAGAAACUAAACUAAGUAUAAUAUUAACCAAGCAACCAAAAUAAAAAAUAUUUAAAACUAAACUAAGCACAACAUUAAUAGAAUAACCAAACUAAUGGCUUUUAAAAGAAUGAAACCAAGCAUAAUAUCAAUAGAGAAACCCAACUAAAUAUGAGAUCAAAUUAAUAACUAAACUAAUGAUUUUUAAAAGAAUUUAAACUAAGCAUAAUAUCAACAAAGCAACCAAACUAAUAAUUUUUCAAAAUUAAACUAAACAUGAGAUCUAAAGAAUAACUAAACUAUUUUGAAAAAAAGAAAGUAAACUAAACAUAGUAUCAACAAAGGAACAAAACUAAUAAUUUUUUUAAAACUAAACAUAACAUGAUAUUAAUGGAAUAACCACAUAACUAAUGAUUUUUAAAAGAAAUUAAACUAAGUAUAAUAUCAAUAAAGCAACUAAACUAAUAAUUUUUAUAAACUAAAUUAAGCAUGAGAUCAAAAGAAUAACCAAACGAAUGAUUUUUAAAAGAAACUAAACAAAGCAUAAUAUAAACAAAACAACCAAAUUAAUAAUUUUUAAAAAACUAAACUAAGCAUGAGAUUAACAGAAUAACCAAAGUAAUGAUUUUUAAUAGGAUUAAACCAAACAGAACAUCAACAAAGCAACCAAAGCAAUGAUUUUCAAAAACUAAACUAAAUAUGAGAUCAAUAGAAUAACCAAACCAAUGAUUUUGAAAGGAAACUAAACUAAGCAUGAUUUCAAUAAAGAAACAACUCUAAUAAUUUUUAAAAAUUAAACUAAGCAUGAGAUUAACAAAGUAACCAAAUCAAUGAUUUUUAAAAGAAUCCUACCAAGCAUAAUAUCAACAAAAGAACCAAACUAAUAAUUUUUGAAAACUAAACUAAAUAUGAGAUUAACUAAAUAACAAAACUAAUGAUUUUUAAAAGAAACUAAACUAAGCAUAAUAUCUACAAAGCAACCAAUCUAAUAAUUUUUAAAAACUAAACUAAACAUGAAAUCAAUGGAAUAACCAAACUGAUUAUUUUUAAUAGAAACUAAACUAAAGGUGAUAUCCACAAAGCAACCAAACUAAUAAUAUUUAAAAACUAAACUAAGUACGAGAUUAACAAAAUAAUCAAACUAAUGAUUUUCUAUAUAAUUAAACCAAGCAUAAUAUCAACAAAACAACCAAAUUAAUAAUUUUAAAAAAACUAAUUCAAACACGAGAUUAAUGGAAUAACCAUAUAACUAAUGAUUUUUAAAAGAAACUAAACUAAGUAUAAUAUCAACAAAGGAACCAAACUAAUAAUUUUUAUGAACUAAACUAAGCCUGAGAUAAAAGAAUAACCAAACUAAUGAUUUUUAAAUGAUACUAAAAAAUAAACCCUCCUUAUAACUGGUAAUGACUUCCUUCAAUAAAAAAGAAAUAAUAAAAUUGUCAUGAUUAGUUAUUUGUUCUUAACAAAUAAACCAAACUAUAUUAUGCAAACUCACAAACCUUAUCAGUACAUGAGAGAGCCUCACAGUCUUGGCAACAAAUUAGAAAAAGGAAAGAAAAAACAACUCAUUAAUUAACAUUUUUGUAGGUAUAAGAAAAACCGCAAAGUAGAUUAUGUAUUCAGUUAACAACAUUAAAAGAUUCAAGUACUAAACUAAAAUUCUGUAAAUAUGAGAAAAAUAAUGAAGAACACCUUCGAGCAUUAUUAACAUAUUCACGGCCCUGAUCCUUGGUCAUUUGGUUAUUAGAAGAGGCCUUCAAUUUUUUUGCACUUGCUAUUCUCCAUAAUAAGGAGCAUAUAAUACACCAUUUAAUCAUAAUUUUUUUUUUUGAAAAAUAGCAAAGUACCUCUCUUUGAAGUAUUACAAACACCAACACCUUGACUUAUAUUUGUUCCUAUUUUACCCUAUUAAACAACAAGAAAAUUGUUAGUACUUCAUGGCUGCGAGCAAAGGAUAAAAAAGGAUGAGAAUAGAGGAUGCAAAUAUUUUGCCCUAACACUACUUUGGCAUUAUGCUGAACACAUAAUAGGGUGCAAGCAAUAUCAGAGAGAGAAAGAAGGGGGGGGGGGAGGAGGAUGUUAUGUUGUUGCAUGCUCAAAUUUAUGUCCCCUUAAGUUACCUUUGCUCAAGCUUUGAGAGAUAAAUGAAUUACCCAAACCACCUUGGGAUUGUUAAUCAAUUGCUCUUUGUUAGUGAAGCUUCACCCUUUCCAAUUGAGUAAUUGUUGUAUUUUCCUUUAGCAGAUUUCUGCCUCUUUUACUUAUUCCAAUGCAUGUUUCUCCCCUUACUAAACACCAAUUCCUUCUUUCUUAUUACAAACAUCGAUAGUUUGUGCUACAAACCUAGUCUAGUGCUUACAGGAAUUAUUCCGCUUGCCUUUGUCCUUCUAGAAACCCUUCAGAUUCCCCUUUAUAUCAAAAGGAAAAUAAAACGAAUAAAGACUUCUAAAGCAUCCAACCACCAAAAUCAACAAAUGUGAAGAGGAGCAAUUGAAAUAACUUUUGAAUCACUUGAAUUGCUCUAAGCAGUCCCUUUGUUGAACUGCACAGAUUUCCUCAUGCAGAUAAAGGUUAAAAAAACACAAGUUAACAAAAAGGCUUUCUCUUCCAAGCAAAAUAGCCAUAAUAGGGAUACCUAAGGGAGACUUUUGUUCUCUUGGGUACUAGAAAAUUUCAAACCUAAGAUUCAAGAAUUCUAACCUCCAUUCUUCACCUACAUUAUCUUAGAACCCAAUUAAAUAGGCUCUGGAAAUUGUCAGUCAUAAAUGGUUGCUAAUUGGGAAUUAGAGCCCAAGAAUAGCAGAAUCUCCACUGGACUGAGCUUUACAAAACCAAUUAGGUAAAUUAAGGUGGGUUUUUUUUCUUUUGUUUUUCCAAUUUUCAGUGAACAAAAACAUAAAACACGAGACUCAAAUUUUCAUUUUCCUUUUCAUUUCCUCUAUUUUGUCUGAAAUCUAUACAUUACUAAUUCAAAAGUUGGUAAAAUCACACACCUUGUUGGGAUUAGGGUCUCUCUCAUGGUUCUACUAAAAAAUUAAAAACAUAACAUUGAAUUCUGAGAUAGCCAUCAACAAAAAGUUAUUGUUGAAAGCCAAAUGAUAAACAUCAAACCAGUACCAACAGAAUCACGGGAACCAACAUUAACUCUCUCAUUCUCAUAAUAAACCUUGAAACUUAAGCCAACUGUUUCAGAAACAGAGCAUCCAAUUAAUACAUGAGAAUAUAAAAUUUCUCAUUAUAGAAACAAUGUAAAAUGUACCACUCUUUAGAUUUUUUUGAUUUGCAACUCGACUCGAAGCUGCAUUCAAUUUUCCCUACAUUUAUGGAGACGAAAAGUUUGAUCAUGAUUCAAAACAGAGGAAAAGAAAAGGAGUUAGAUAAGAAUAAGAGCUUAUAUGUACCUUGACAACCACCAUUUUGUUUUUUUACACUUUAUUUUUCAGAAUCUUCUGAUGAUCCAAUACCCUAAGAAGCAAAAGCAACAUCCAAAGUUCAGGUAGUCAAUUUCUAUCUUUCCUUGUUUUUUCUGGGCAACCAAACAAAAAUUAAGGUUCCUGGGAAAUCGUGACAAAAAUUCUUCCUCUUAACUAAACAGUUUCCGUUACUGACCUACUGGGUUAGCGAUCCUAGUUGCAGAACAGUUUCCAAAUAUGAUCUUCUUUAUUGCUGAGAAAUCAAAGGAAGGAAAAGAAAAAAAAGAAAAAAAAAAGCAGGAAUCUUGGAAACACCCAUUUGAAAGGCGAGAAUAUACUUGCAAGUUUGUAAUUUCCUAGAAACUUAAGGACAAGAAAAUAUAGAUUUUCUUGGCAACCAAACGGAAAAAAUAAAAGUUAAAAAGAGUGCAGAAAAAAAGGAUAACAAGAAUGGCGAUCUCUUGUAGACAAGAUGAAUGUGAAGAAUGGUGAGCGCUGAUUUGAAAUGGUAGAAAAAUCUCCUGUGAUGUUCGCAGAAACCAGAAAAGAAUAAUGAUGCAGGUGUAAUCUUUUGUUCCCUCAGAAAAAUGGAUAUCCAAAGGAAAAUGGCGAUUCCAUCCUCAAAUAUGAAGAUCCUGAAGCUCCAAAGAUGGGUGUCUGAUGAUCCUUACUCACUGUCGGUGGACUGCAAUGGUUGUGAUGAAUAUUAGUCUCCGAUGACAAUGAACUCUAAUGGCGGUGAUGACUCUCUAUAAAAGAACCAGCGAGCUUCAACGGCGGUGAACUACUCUGGCAGUGAUGAACUCCAAAGAUGAACCAGCAAGCUUCAACAGUGGUGAAAUACUCCGGCAGCUAUGAACUUGUCUUUUUCAAUGAGAAUUUGCACUCCUCCAAAAAACACCCAAAAAGUGACUCCCUAUGUAGGUGAUGAACUCUCCUACUCCAAAAAAUGCCCAAAAAGAGACUCUUUAUGUCAGUGAUGAAGUCUUAUUUCCAAGAAUGCCAAAAAGAGCAUCUCCGUCGGUGAUGAAGUCUCUGUUUUUUCAACCUCAAAAGUCUCUGGAACUAAAACUGUUACUCCAUUCCCGGUGUGGUGUGCAUGCUCCCUCAACAGAAAGAUUCCUUUUCCGAAGACUUUCCCAAAAACGGCCUCCUGAAUGCUUGGCAGUAGCUUCCUUGCAUGGCCUGUGGUGAUGCUCCCUCACGUGAGACUCUUCCCGAAACCAUCAUGAGGUCAUGUCCCGGAAGAAAAUGGAUCAUUUUCAAAAGUCUCAUCGUCAUGCCGAAUGCAUGUCUUCAUCUCACCCGGAGCACAUGUGUGAUAGGCAUCCAGAAUGCACGUGCCUCUAACCUUCUAGAAUCUUCUGGAUCCCAUGCAUGGAGGUCAAAAUUGCAGUAGAUUUUCCAUCAUGAGUGAAAGAAAUGCCCUUCUAUGCAUGCCUUGGCCAUUACACACGUAUUCAUCCUUAUCUCAUCCAAGCACCAGAAUAAUUGCAAAAAGUUUGGGCUUGUUCUUGGUGUUUUUAAAAAUUGUUUUCAAAAUAGAGAACAAAAAUAGUUUUUUUAGAAUUUUUAAAAAACUAGAGUGUUUGACAUGAUGUUUUAAAACAAAAAACAAGAAGUUUGUUUGAAUGAAGGAAUUUGUAUUGUUUUUAAAAACAAUGUAUUAUUUUUAUUUUACAAAAAAUUUUAUAAAAUUAAAAUCUAAUAAUAUGAAAUCAAAUUCAAGUUAAGUCUUAUUAAAAAAUAAGUAUUAAUUUCACAAUUAUAUAUAAGUUAAUGAAACAAUUUUUUUAUUGUAGUGAAACAAAAAUUUCUAUAAGAUAAAAACAAUUUUAAUAUUCAUUUUUAAUACAAGUCAAUUAAGUACUUUAAUUAAUUUAAAAAAAAAUUAUUUGAUCAUGAUUUCUUAUGUUUUUUUUAGAAACAUUUUUAAUAUUAAAGAAUCAAAAAAAGUUUUUUAAUGUUUUAUAAAAUUAAGGAUAUUUGAUAAGUUAUUAUUAUAAAAUGAUUUUAAAAAUAAAAAACAAAAGGACUUGUUUGGAUAAAUUAUUAUUAUUUAAAAAAAAAUAUUUUGAUUUUGUAAAAACAUUUUAAAUUCAAUUUAUAUAAUAUUAAUUAAUUAAAUUUAAUUGAAGUCUUAUUGAAAAUGAAAAUAAUUUUUAAUUAAAAAUAUAUAGUUUUUAGUAAAACAUAAAUAGUAAUAUUAUAAUAAAAUCAUAAAUUAUAUUUUUAGUAGAAAAUAUACUAUUUUAUUACAUGUAAGAAAAAAGAUAUUUUAUUAUAUUAACAAAUUUAUGGUAUUAACAAGUUUAUUAUUUUAAGUUUUAAAUUAUUUUUAAAAAUUAAUAGAAAUUGAAAAAUAAUAAUUCUAUGUAGAAAAGAAAUAAUAGAGUAUAUGUGCCCUAGGGUUUGUUGUCUACCUUCAUUUUCUUUUUCCUUUUUCCCAAAAUCUCUUUGAUUUUUUUUUUGUGGAAAUUUGGUUACUAAGAAAUUUUAAGAAAAAAAAAAAAGAAGAAAAGAAAAUGGAAUUUUUGCAUUAGCAUGUGGUUGGAUAAAUAUUUUCAAUAUUUUGGUUUAUUUUUCCAACUAUCUAUCAAAUAGUAAUCUGAGUGAUAUAUUUCCUUGGAACUCAUGUGUAUGAGGAGAUUAUAUCCUUUAUUUGGUCGUCGAGAAAAGGAGGAGAUCUAUUGCAUUGCAUUAUGGAUGAAUAGUGCUACUAUAUAAUAGAUAUAUAUAUAUAGUUCACAUAUCAUGUAUAAACAGAUGCCAUUGCUAUCAAUCAAUUUUUAUUUUUUUUAGGAAGAUCUAUUAAAUCUCUUGGCUCUUUACUUGCCCUUUGAGGACUCCUUUAAUCUAUUAUCUCUUUAUUCAAUUAUCCUUUGUUUGGGUCCCAGGAAAACUUAGAAAAUGAAAGCAAAGUCCCAAUCCUUUUCACUACUAUUUGGCACAAUAGGAAACUAAAAGCCUUUUCAUUUCACAUAGGUCUGAAUUGAUGAAUGUCAUAGAAUUGGAGGUAGGGAAAGACAACCAACAUCAAUACCAUCUCCAACAUAUAUAUAUAUUCUUCACUGUGCAUAUGCACCUGUACAGAGAAAAUGCAUCGUGAAUGAAAUUUCUUAUCUUAUAAUUUUCGAAAUCACAAUAUUUCCCAUUAAAUAAUUAACUACUAGAUGUAAGAGGUGAAUAAUGUCAUCCAAAUGAUUCUAUGUUAUUAUGUUUAAUAAAAAAUCUAACCACAUUACAUAUUGGUUUGCUCAUUGCUUUAUUGAUUUACAAUUAAGAGAUUCCAAAGUUGGAUUUAUAUCAAGGUUUAUCCUCCGCAUUGAAUGUUAUUUUUAUUUUUAUUUUUCUUAUGUUCUGUAUGUUAAAUGUUGGAAAUUGGUGGUAUCUGCUGCUUAAAUUAAAGAAUAGAAAUACAAUUCUUUGAUGAGCCCUGAACGGUGCCAACACAGACACCUGAUGUCGAAAACAUUCUUCAUUUUUUUAAUUUAUUUUUAAUUGUUUUUACAUGAUAUCAAAUAUAUUAUUAUAGAUAAUUUAUAACAAUAAUCUAAAAUUAUUUAGAUUAUUGUUAUAAUUUUUUAGAAUUAACUUAGUUUUUAUCAUGAUAUAAGGUAACUUUGUAUGAUGUUUGAAAAUUAAUUUAAAAUUUAAAAAUUUUAAUAUCCAGUAAUGAUUUGAAGCAAAUUUUGUUUGUCAUUCUUAAAGAAUUUUAAAGGUCAUUUACGUGAAUUUUGUGAUUUUUUUUAUCAAAAAUUUAAGUUAAAUAUGAAAUAAAAUAAUUUAAAUUAAAUUUAGAAGUUUUCUUAUAAAAUAAAAAUCUAUAGUUUCACAAUAAAUGAUCUCUUUUAAAUAAAAUAAUACAUAAAUGUAUAAAAAAAAAUGAUAUAAAUAAUUCUUAUUAUAAUUAUCUUAAAUAAAUAUAAAGAUUUUAUCUCACUAUUUUAAAUGGAAAAAACUUAUGAAUUUUUUUUUUACUAUAUUCAAUAAGAUAAUUUAAAUUAAAUUUGAGAAUUUUCUAUAUAAUUUUUUAUUAUAAAUUAUCUCCUUUAAAUAUUUUUUCUUUUAAAUAAAAUAAUAUAUAAAUGUAUAAAUGUAUAAAAAAAAUAUGAUAUAAAUAACUAUUAUAUAUAUAUAUAUAUAUAUCACAAUAUGAGAUUAUUUAAAUUAUUUUUUUAUUUUUUAGAAUUAGCUUAGUUUUUAAUUUAAUUUUUAUUCUAAUAAUAUAUAUUAAUUAAUAAUUUACUAAGGUAAAAUGUUUGAAAAUUAUUUUUAAUUGUUAAUUUUUAAUAAGUGGUAAUGAUUUGGAUAUGUUUUUCAAUUAAUGUAAUUUUCAUUUUUAUCAUAUAUGUAUACUCAAUAAUUUAUUAAGAUAGGUUUGUACCAUAUCAAUAAUAAUUUAAUGUUUGAAAUUAAUUUUAACGUACUAAUGAUUUGUAUCAAAUUUCCUUAUCAUUCCUAAACAAUUUUAAAAGUCAUAUAGGUCAAUGAGAUCAUUUAAAUUCAAUUUGAAAGUUUUCUAUGUAUAUGUAUUUUUUAUUUUUUACCCUUGAUAAAUUAUAGUCAUCAAAUAAUUUUAAAUAUUUUAAAAUUAACUAAAAUAAUAUAAAUAACUUUUUAUCAUAAUUAUAUUUCUAACUUAUGCUCUUUUUUAGGUAAUACUAAAAAUAUAUUUGUGGACCCCGCAUUUCUGCUCAAUGCGUUUCCCACUCGAUGGCGAGCUCGGUUUAUUAUUUUAUUUGAAAAAUUGAUUUUUAUUGAUUAGAAAAAUGACUUGGAGUCGCCACUUAUUUUUGUUUUAUUUUUAAAGGGUAAACAAAAUAAGAAAGAAAAACCCUAAGUGUGACUCCUUAUUUUGGAAAAGGGGGUCUGUGAAAACCGGAUCGGGUUCGGGGGUCAGGUUACUUAUCGGGAAGGUACGGUAAAGACCGUAGCACCCCUCUAAGUCCCUAAGUCGGGUCUCUACUGAUAGAAUGAAGCUGACAUGGCAAUUGAUGUGUAAAUCAGAAAAUACCCAGAAUGAUUAUGCACGUAUGAAAAUCAAAACACCCAAUGAAGAAUGAUCAAAGUGAGAGCGGGGCGUACCUUAGCAUCAAACGAUCAAUGCGCUAUCACAAAAAAUCGGGUCAGUGUACAAUAAAGAGCAUAAACAUAGCUCACAUGUCGCUAAAUCGAGCACAAAAGUCAUCACGUCACAAUUCAUUCAAAUUGAUUUUUAUUUUAAAGAAAAUUCUUUGAUGUAGGGCCCCCACCAAAGCCCAUUUUAUUUUUGAGUGAAUUAAUUUCGUAAAUUCUAUAAUUAAGAAUUACGAAAAUAAAUUCACACUUAUUUUAAAACAUUUUGAAAAUCAUAGAAAAUUCAAAAGUGGCUCGCCGAAGAGAGAAUGGCGGCCAAAUUUUAUGGAAAAUGAGAUUUUGGAACUUAACAAGCCUAAAGAAGAAAAUUGCAAAGAUUCGAAAUUAUUUGAAAGCCAAGAUUUGGAAAACUGCUUUAAAUUUGGAUCUUGGGAGAUCAUUUUUUUAAACCAAUGAUGCGGGGAAAGAGCAAUGACAAAUGAUCAAAAAAAUUGCAUGCCAAAGGUGGCCAUGCAUAAUGAGGUUCUGCACGCAGACCGGAUGCGCCAUUAAUACAACUCUGUGGUGUGGGAGAUUGCAUCUGUCGCUCUCUUGAGAUUAGAAUGGGUAGGCACCCUGACCUGCUAUGACUUUUUAAAAUUCAUUCCCAGCUUCUGAGCCAUUAAAAUCUGAGACAGGCCCCUCAUCUUUGUCUUCCAAAACAAUACUAUCAAGGUAGUCCCUGGGUGCAUUGCCAUCCCAUAUAUGAAUUCCCUUUUCCUGUAGGACCGUUGCAUUUGUUGUGCCACUGAUGAACCAUAACAGUUCUUCAACGAUCCACCACCAAAAAUACUUUCUUAGUUGUAAGAGACGGAAAAACUUUUCAUAGAUUAAACCGCAUCUGACAACCAGACUUUGAUAAAGUACCAGUCCUUGUCUUAUCAUCCCUUUGAACAUUAUUUGAGAUGAUAGCUUCAACCAAUCUCAGAUAAACGUAUUUUUCAUGCCUCUCAAAGAUCAUCUUGUGCAAGAAAGAGAACUUCUUUACUUCAAAUUUAAUGGAUUCCUACCCACUGCUGAAAUUUCAGAUCUUCACUCAUGUUAGUACUUGGGGAUAUAAUCACAACUGUAUAACUAUGUGCUCAAUCCUCGGGAGAGUCUGACCAUAAAUGACUGGACCCACUUAUCAUCAAAGUUUCAACUGCUUGUUUGGAGAAUGAAAUCAGUUUGAUAGAAGGAUUUCCACUGCAACUGUACCUUGAACUCGUUUGAAAGAUUGUACUAGUGAUUCUAGCAGCACCCCCUCUUCAAUUUCAACUGGAGCGCUUCUGUAUAACUCAAGCCUCUUUGCCAGGGCAGUGCGUCUUGCCAUGACUACUGGAUCCUCGUUCAAGAACUCCCAUUUUAAGACGAUCAUGCUCAUUUAAAAUAUCCAAAGUUUCAAUAAAGUCAACACCUUUGUCUCAUUUUGAAUUCCCAAAACAACCAGUGGGAUUGCUACAGCUGGACCAUUUCCCCCUCUGGCCGACGUGGCUGUUAAAGAAAAAGGUGGUAUGGGAGCUUGAUUCUGCUGGUGCCAUUAUCAGCUUUCUCACUACCUUUAUCCUUUCAUCCGAAGCAAAGUUCUGCCCUACAAAGUCAAACUCUUUGGGCAUCAUUAUUUCUUGUUGUAAGAACAUCAUCAGGUGUAUCAACACUCACCAUAACCUUGAGAUGUCGUAUCUGAUCAGCCUAAAACAUGAAGGUCUCCAAAUCACCAUUCAGAGCCAAUGGGACAAGGGCCUGUUUUCCCAAGAUCAUUUUACCUGUAGACCCAUUGAGUGAAAUCCAGUCAUCUUCUUUGAUCACUUUGUUUCCAACUAUAAUUACCUUCUCAAUGUCAUUUACACAGAUUUCAGAGCAGCCAGAAACAUAACAUUUUCCCCAUUCACAGGCUAUAACAGCUGCGUGAGAUAUCAUGCCACCCCUGGCUGUCAGGAUCCCUACAACAGCAUGAAGAAGACAUCCUUGCUAUCAUUUCUCAUCGUUGACCAUCCUUCAUCAGUAAACCCAUUAAGAGCCUCAUUAAAAACCUCUGCUCAGCUGUUUCACCAUAUUCAUCAUUUUCGAGAAAUGUAGUUACAGCAGCUGCUUCAACCUCUUUGUGCUUAUUGUUUUCUUUCACAUCCAAAUGGCUUAUGCGAGCCACCAAGUCUUAACAUGAUGUCAGAAUCAAUGGUAGGUUCCAGCUUUUGAACGCAAUCAAAUUUUCUACAUGAGUUUGAAGAUGGCUCAACGCUGUUAAAAGGUGGAUCAUGUUGGUCACCUCCUGACCCAGACAAAACCCGUCGACCAGUAGUGGCAGAGCUCCCCUUAUUGUCUGAGGGACUUGAUGAACGCCCUAGCCCAAAAAACAAUGAAGAACCAACUUGCUGACCUCUGGUGCCAUCAAUCAAACUCCACUUCUGUUUGACCCCCUUUUAUGCAGUCAAGACAUGAAUCGAAGAACCGGGGAAAUCAAGUGGCAGGAUAGUAUUCACGCAAUAGUUGGUUCUGGCUCCUCCAAUUCUCUCUCAAAAAAAGUGUCAUGACCUUCCACAUCUAGUCUCCUUCAAAUAUUUGUCAAUAAAGUGCAGCAGGUGCUUGACAGUAAGAGGAAUGGCGACAAUGACGGUGUAGAUAGCUGCCACCGCCCAUGUUGGAAUGCACUCCAACGGCGUCUCUUCUUUUUGGAAACCAAUAGCGCGCUGCCAUCUAUCAGCGCUGGGAUUAUUCUGCUGCCCUCACUAAGAUAUCUUCUUCUAGUUGAGGGGAGACUGCCAGGUAUGGAGGGUGCCCAGGCUGGGAACCAGUCAAAACUGACCACGUAUGCACCAAAGUAGCCAAGCGCUGUGAACGCCAAGCACGUGGGAGAUGGAAUUAAAGGGUAAGGGAUGAAUGAUGGGCUGUAAAGGUUAUGGGUGGAAUAGUGGUAAAAUGUAGGGAUAUAACGGGUAUGAGGGGUAUGGACUUAGAGAGAGAAGUGACUUUUAGUGGUAUGAAGGAAAGGACAUGGACAGUAAGGAUGAGGAGUCGGUGGGAUUGCAUGGUGUAUUACUGAAUCGCAAUAUGGAUGAGGAGUGUGCGUGGCAUAAGGUGGAGUAGCCUUGGUAGUAGAGACAAUGGUGUGGGAUAGGUCAAUAUAGGUACAGGCAGUGGGCGUGAUGGUACACGAGGUUCUCUCUGAAAUCCACUUGAAUUUGCCUGCGAAUAAUCAGGAACUGGAGAGGAUGACCUUGGCCCAAAAUUUUUAACAGUGCACAUGCAUUUUCUGUCUUUUCCAGUGGAUAUCGGGUCCUGAGCUUUUGACCACCUACCCCCCCUCCUUUGAAAGUUGUUGGACUGAUGCAGAUCCUUGUUUUGUGGCGGGCCUUCAGAUUCUUGGGUAUUCAACAGAAAAGGGCCCAUUUCAACACGAAAAUCAUACAUUGCCUCUGAUACAGCCUGGGGAUCCUAACCGGAUAAAACUACUUCAAUCCCGGCAAGGGGUAGGGCCGUCUCUUCUUCUUGAAACCCAGUUAUGUCCUUGUAACGACAAACAAGGUACUGCUUGGCUGCAUCUGUCAAAGAUUGAACUGCCUCAACCAUUAGGGCACUGGAAAGAAACUCUAGAUAGAGCAGAUGCAUAUUCAGGUAUCAUGGGUAAGUUCCUUAAGAAUCUGCUGCAGCGCCUCAUACAUGAAGCAACCUCCAGUUUAUUAGAAUCCAGAAGUGCAGCAUCUCAUGAGCCAGGGUUCAAGAAAGCUCCCGAACAAAGCUCCUUUCCGCCAUCUCUAUCUGUUUGCACUAGCUUAUUUGUGUAUCCGCUUUUGAGGAUGGAGACCAUGUUCCUUAGCCUCUCAGAGUUUUCUGGGUGCUUUUCGAGGACGUCCAGGAAGCCAGGGCCCAUUCCAGUGUCGAACACUCCAUUCCCAAUCAUCAGCUAUGAAGUACCCCGUUACCCUUGGCUCUGCAACACCACCUUCUUAACAGAAAUCCAAAUCACUUUUUGUAUCCGAAGCAGUAUUUUCACUACCACUACUGCCCCUUUCUGAAGAUCUGUCAAGGUCAUCAGAUGCGUCACUCCUUGAGCUUGUAAACUUUUUAUUCAAUCAGGAUAAACGUCCUCUGCUUUCUCGAUCGGCUGCACACUCUCCCUAAUCAAAACCAUCAUCGCUUGGAGAACCAGGAAGUUUCACAAACAUCGAAACGGCCCCCAUGAUCGAUUGCCAUUUUGAAAUGCAUAAUAGAAAGAAGAAUUCUCUGCUCGCAUCUCGCUCCAAACAGUCUAACACAAACUAAACCCUUCCACUAAGGGUUCUUUGCCUCAAGUCACCUUCUUCAUCCUUACGCCCACAUGGCGUACACGUGAUUUUCCUCAACCCUGUUCAUGCUCUCUUCUUUUCUUUAGUAAGCUUCUUCUUCAAAGUUUCAGAGUCUUCCCAAAAACACCCAGUCCGGACAGUCAAAACAAAAGCCGAAGUAGCUCCUAUAGGCAUCUCGUCCACUGGGAGCCAUGCAUCGGUAGUAGAAACCAACGCACCACCCUCUCCCCCUCAAGCAAGGUCAGAAUACAAAACCAAACAUCCAAAACGAGUCUAAAAACGUGAACCAGAAGUCAAAAUAUGAGUUGAGAUACCGAAAAUGGAGGAGAAAACAAAACGGGAUAUAGUAUACCCAAUAACAGAGUAAGCAAAGCGAGCCAGGUAACAGGUGGGAUCCCCUUUCAUUUUGAGAUCCGGGGGUUCCGGCCAGUGGUGCAGCAGAGAAGUUUAAAACAAAUAUAAAAAAUGGGAGUGAUCCACACUCGAAUGAAUGAAUACAAAAAGAGAGUAACCCAGCGUCACAUCCACACACAAACGAUCCAUUAGUGCCCCAAAAAAACGAGAUAACUAGAGAGAAUGAGAGAUAAAAGAAAGAAAGAAAACAAAGAUGAGUGAAUGUGAAUAGUCUGAAGAGUUACCACAAAAUCAGCUGGAGAUGCCCUUUCAAAGUCCUUGUCCUCCAAACUCUCAGAAGAAGUCUUUCUCUUACCUUUUGCGUCUCUCCAGAGAGAAUGCUCUCAAGCUCUUUCCAGAAAACUUCCUCUGUUUCUUUUGCUUCUUCUCUCUAAAGCUCUCUGCUACUACUCACAAUGCUCUCCUCAAACUCUCACUUUCUUCUCCUCUCUCGCCCAGGAUCCUCUCGGCAGCUAUCUCUCCCAGCUCAAUCUUCUUGCUCACCCCUCUAGAAAUCCCUCUGCCUCUCUCCUGGAAAAACACUCCAGAACCAGCCUGAUACUCCAGGAAUCCUCUCCACAAAAAAAAUCUCUUCCUCCCUCUCUCUCCAGUUGCUCCCCAGAAAUCCUUCUCUCCUCUAAAGAGAUGAACUCUCCUCUCACUUUUCCCCUCACCCCCAGUGCAACUGCAUCCUCUCUGCCCAAAAAAAACCAAACAAAAUCCUCCCCUCCAGAAAACGCACCACCUCUCCUAUUCCCUCUACAGCCACCUUCCUCUUCUAGGCCGAUCUCCUCCACUACCUCUUUUGCCCCUACGACAAUAUCCCUGGAAAAAGCCCCCUGCAGCCACUACCCUCUGCACCACUACCUUGCUAAUAACAGAAGACGCUCCUCAAGGCAACGGCCUGCAGAUCCUCAUGCCACCUGUCAAACUCUCACUCGCUCCUCAAUUCCACCAUCUGUUUCUAUGACCACCAACCACAAGGCGACACGUGGCCCUAUGGGACUGCGACACAUGGCAAAAAUGGCUGUAGAAAAUGACACCCAAAUGGGGGUCUACAAUAUUUUUUUCAAAAUUCUAAGAGUAAAAUAAUUAAAUACAAAUAAAUAUAAGUAUUGAUAAAUAUUUUAGAAUAAAUUUAGAAUUAUUUUAUAAAUUUGAAAUUUAUUUAUUUAUAAAAUAAUGUGAAUCAUGAACAAAUCUAACACAAUAAGAAAAUACAAUACAAUCAAUUCUUUGCAAAAUCUAUCCACAAAAAACUAAUGUUGUUAGUUUUAUGAGAGUAAGACAAGAAAAUAUUUUAAAAUAAAUUUGAAAUUAAUUUAUUUAUAAAAUAAUGAGAAUUAUGAAUAAAUUCAAUGCAAUACUCAAGAAAAUACAAAUAUAAUAUGAUUCUCUACGAAAUCAAUUCAUAAAAAAUAAUAUUGAUCUUUGUUAAAUAAAUUUCCCUCUCUUUUUUUUUUGUUUGUCCACUACUUCUUAUACGUAAUAAAUCUAAAAUUAUGAUAAACCUAGAAAAAAAUCUAAACUAAGAAUAGGAAUUUUUGACGAAGGUGUCGAGGAUCAUUAUUAUUUCGACACAAGAAAGAGAUGUGGAAAAUUCCUUUCUUGUGUGGAAGACUAGGAAGACGAAUAACCCUUCCUAGAAUCAUUUGUUUCCCUCAUUUCAUUUAUCCUUUGCUUUAUAUUCUACGCUUUAGAAAGGAGGUUAUAGAGGAGGUCAUCAUAGUCCUAAAGAAAGACAUAGAUAACAUUUAUCCAUUGUUUAAGACGGAAGUAAUCACAGUUUAUAUAUUUAUUUUGAAUAAUCAUCUAGAUUUGUAGUUUUUAACUAAUUACUACAAAUAAUUUUUUUUUGAAUCAAAAUUUAUUAAGUAAUAGUUAUUUUCAUUGUAGCCCAUCCUAUUCUUGUGGAUUGGUAAAGAUAACAUUUUAAAAAAAUAAUUAAUAAUUGUGAAUAGUUGAAUUUAUUAUUUUAGAUAAAAAAAAUAGUUGUGUGAGUUAUUUUAUUUUCAAAAUUCUUACACUUCUAUAAGUUAUUGUUUUAAAACUUGCAAGAAGCUAAAUAACUGAAGGAAAAAAAAUAAAUGAUAGUGAAGUUUAAUACACAACUUUUCAUGAAUGAGCAUCAGUAUCAAUCCUUCCAUCUUAAUUAAAGUUAUUUAUGAUAUUAUUAAUUUCUUCUUAACUUUCCAAAUCUCUUCCUCUACCUUCACAUUUAAUUCAUCAAUUUUAAAUUCAUUCAAUGUACUCAUUAAAUCAUUAAAUUCUGAUUCCGAGUUUAUACUUAGAAUAAAACAUAUAUUUUUAAAGGUCAAUGAAAAUAUAUGUUCUAGAAUUAAUUAGUUAAUGAAAAAUAAAAAGGAAAAAUAAUGCUCAAUUGAAAUAUUUUAAAAAGGAAAUAUAAGUGUGGACCCCGUAUUUCUGCUCAUGCGCUUCCCCUUGAUGGCGAGCUCACCUUUUUUAUUUUGAAAAUGAUUUAUAUAUUUAUUUAUUUUUAGAAAAUGACUUAGAGUCGCCACUUAUUUUUGUUUUAUUUUAAAAGGGUAAACAAAAUAAGAAAGAAAAUUUUAAGUGUGACUCCUUAUUUGGAAAAGGCAGUCUGUGAAAAAUCAAAUAUGGGCUCGAGGGCCAGGUUAUUUAUUGGGAAGGUACGGUAAGAACCGUAGCACCCCUCUAAGUCAAUAAAAACGGGUCUUCUUUUGGUAGCUAAAAGCCUCAUCAACAUAUAGGCAAGAACUCGGGCUAUAAAUUGGAUAUUCUUCAUCCUUCAUCCAUGUUCCCAUAUAUAAAUCGCAAUUUUCCAACAUUGAGACAACACCGCCAUUAUCAACCAUUUUAAUCAAAGUUUCAUUAUCAAUGAUAGGGCAUGUAUUCUCUUCCACAACAACCUCGCUGCCAUUGAUCAUAGGAUCCACCGAGUCGCUUUCACUAAUCUGCAAAAUGGGGUUCUUGAAUUGACGUCUCCAAUCCUCUUAAGUCAUUGACAAAUUCCGGUUCUUUUAUGGGUUUUGUCUUAUCUUCAACAGAAACCUCACUGCCAUUGAACCCAGAAUCGAACGACUCAUUCUCAGACAUCUACGAAAUGGGUUUUUGAAUUGAUGACUCCAACCAUCCCGACGAAAUGUUGUUUAUCCCGAAAUGCACAAUAGCAAGAGUCUCAUGCUCGGGUCUAUCAUAGAGCACAACAAUGAUAUCCCUUUACCUUGCAACUAUAACAAUGAAGCCCUCAUUUCCAGAGUAAAAACCAACAAUACUCACCUUUGCCAUUAUCAAACUAAUUUAAUUGAUCCAAUUAGUCUAUUCCUGAUGGGACAACUCGUAACCGACACACGGAAAAUGUCUAAAUCUAAAGAGAAAAUAGGUUGGUAAGUAUGGAGGAUAAGGAAAUGGUGUCUAUGGGAGGAAUAGGUUCGGUGGGCAUGGGUAUGGAAUGAAUUGGUGACGGUGAAGACAUUAAUGGGUAUGGAAGAUAUGGGAUAUGAUUGUCAGGAUGGGUAGUGGGAUAUAGUGUGAGAAACGGGUGGUGAUGUGUUGGGUAUGAAAGGUGGUAAGUAUGAGUGGUGACAGGUAUGUAAAUUUGGAAGAUGAGAAAGGUGGUGAGUAAGAGAAAUGGGUAUGGAUGAAGAUCAUGCAUGCAUGAGGACUGAUGAAUGGGUUGAAGGCAGUGAGUUUAGAAAACGGAAGUAUGGGUAAGGUGAUGGAUAUGAUUAUGGGCAUGGUGGAGCAUGAGGAUAGAUAUGUUGGAGUAGGAAUGGUGUGAGUAUUAUUGGUAGAAUGAGUGGUGAAAAUGUAGUGAGAAAAGUGGUUUGAUGGGUUCGGUGGGUGUGAGUGAAUGGUACAUGGGGGUAUAGUGAGUGAAAAAUGGGUUUGGUGGUGUUUAAAAAAAAUGGUGAUAUGCAUGGUAGCAUGAAGGAUGAGUAUGGAAAUGGGUGUGAGAAGGUGGGCAGUGGGUAUGAGGAUGGUGAGAUUAAUGGUUUUAGGAAGAUGAGAAAGUGGUAUGAGGGGUGGGUAGUGAGAGAAAUGAGAAUUGAUGGGCAUGAAAGAUGGAAAUUGUGGCAAUGAGGGAAAAUGGGUAUGAGAUUAGUGGAAUAGGUGAUGGAGGUAUGGAAAAAUGAAAGGAUGUAGUGAGAUGGGGAGAGAUAGGUGGUGAAUAUGGGAUGGAGUAUGAAAGUUGGAAAAAAAUGAGAUGGGGUGGCCAAAUGUUAGACUUCCAUGAUGUGGGUGGGAAACAAACAGUGGGGCAGCAAGUUGAGUGACAGUUUGGAAUUUCUCAUCACCAAGAGCACGGGUAGCAGCCUUUGCAUUUGAGCAAACAUUUUUUUUUUUUUUUUUUUUUACGUAUGAAGUAAGUGGCCUCUGAAAACAUUUAGCACCAUGAUAACUCUACAUCAUCCUGAUAACGGAUGCACUCUCUCUACAACUUAUUGCAUCAAAUAUUUCAUCAAUCUCACCGGCAUGACUUAUCUCCACCUCCUUUUUGUACUUGAGUUCAGGUUAUCAUAAUUCUACCAAGGUGAAAGUUCUUCAGUAGUAUUUCUCAAACUAAAAGCAUCUUACCCAUCCUUUGAAUCAUGCACAAAUGAAGUAUGCUUUACAAGCACCUCCAAUGCAAUUCUGUGGCCCCCGUUUUAAACCAAUAGAUUGAAGCACAAAUACAAUCAUAGAAAUCCUCCAUUGAGUUCAUUUUCCCCCAUGACCAUACCCAUUGAACCCCAGCAGCUUGGUUAUUGAAGAUUUCACUCCACCAUCAACAAGAAAUAAAGCAAUAAACAGAGGAGGAAAGUCAUAGAAACAGAGCACGAACUUAGCUCUAUUUCAUGGAUUGUCAAAAGAGCUAGUAGUACCGAUCAACAAUAUACAAGAGCAUGAUUUUUACAUAUCAAUUUCAGGGAUGAAGCCAUGCGUCAAAUACUUGCAUGAGGAGUCCAAGAAACCAAGAAAAAAAAAAAAAUAAAUAGAGCAUAUAUGCACACAAAACAGAUUUAACAAAACAAACCAGUAAUCCUUGAUGCCCAAACCAUUCAGUGAAAUCACACCCAGGAAUCCAUAAAAAAGUAGUAUAGUAACGUGAAAAUGAGGAAAUGUGAAGUUUACAGAGGCCUUACCUGGAAGUCUCCUCCCCAAGCAUCAAAUAGCCUGCAACUCUCCCUCUAGAAAAACUUACUCUCCAAGAAAGACCUCUAAAAAAAAUCCCACCCCGUUUCCUUUAUUUCUCUUCUCUGUAGUAGCCUAGAAGAAAUAUCUCCUCACCCUCUGGCUUGCUCUCCAAGAAAGAUGAACCUUCCCAAAAAAAUCUCUCCAAAAAGCAACAAAAUCCACUCUACUACUUAACGACCUCCUUUUCUCCAUAACAGACACGCUGCCUACCAAAAGAACGCUCCCCUGUUGAAUAUUCCCUACACCUGUCUCUUCCCCAUUGCAUCCCUAGAACCACUAAUGAGAUUCUCUAAAGACCAAUCAGGGAUCGACAUGUGGGUACCCAAAAUGGUGACACCUGGCCAAAAUAUUUGCAGGAUAGGACACCCCAAAACGGGGGUCUACAACAAGUGAUUUUCUUUUGUCAUUUUAAUUAAUAGAAACAAAAAAAAUACUCACAUGAUGUCACGAGUAAAAGCUAUUCAAAUUUUUUUUUAGUUAAUAUUUUUCAUUCUUAUUUGUUUUAAAAAGAUAAAACAAUUAAUUACAUUAGAUUCGUUGAAAAAACAAAAUAAAAUGAGAUUUAGAUAUUUGACUUUAUAAAAUUUGUUCAGAAAAGUCUUUUAUUUUCCUAUUUUUAGAAUGUAUGCAUAAGAUGUUUUAUAAUUAUUUGAUAAAUUUUCUAAAAAAGUCAUAAAAGAACUAAAUUAUAAGGAUAAAAAUGAGUCUAAUUCUAUCACUCAAACACUAAACUUAAUGUCAUUAAAAUGAAAUUAUCCUUUUUUUUUGUCUAAAUGAUUUUUAAAAAAUUCUAUUACCAUGGAUUAAAAGGAAUAAAAUAAAAGUAUAUCCAAAAAAAUGAUAGGGACUUGUUGUCCACUAUUAAAUAACAUAUCAUUUAAAUAAUUAUAGGUAUUAGCAAUUACAUGAUUAAACCUAAAAAUCUUAAAAUCAAAUAAAAGAUAACCCACCACUAAAAAAUAUAUACAUUUUAGAUUUUUUUUUUCUAUUGGACUUUUAGAAAAUUUCAAUAUGUAACUAAUAAACUUUGUAUAUUUUUUUUUUAAAUAACCAAAUAUAAACCACUUGAUAACGAUAAUUUUUAUUUAAAGUUAUCUACAUAAUAGGAAGAUAUAAAUCUAAUGUCAUAAUUGAAACUUUGGCAAAAAUCUCAAAACCUAUCACUUGAUAAAAUAUCAAAUAUUUAAAUAAAUUUUUAAUUCUAUUAACAAUUAAAUAGCAUACAUAGUUUAAAUAAUUAUGUAGUUAUUCGUAAAUUAGUAAUUCCAAACAUUUAAAAAUCUCGAAAUGAUAACCUCCCACUAAAAAAAGUAUUUAAUAAAAAAUUAUUUUAUUAUAAUUUAUUUUCUAUGUAUAUAUUAGGAUUUAAAUAAAUUUAACUAUAUAAACACUAAAAGAAAUUUAAAAUAAAAAUGAACAAAUAUUUUAUAAAAUGUAUUUGGUAUUCAUACUUUUAUAAAUUUUUUUACUAAAUUUAUUCUUUUCACACACAAAUUUAGUCUAAGGGAUAAACUUGCAAUGUUUGGUUUAUUAACUUUUCAAAUUUCUUAAAUAAAUAAAAACAAAUCAUUAUUUAUAAAUUUGAUAUCAAACACUAUCACAACUACUUUGACAAUUUUUACCAUAUUUUUUUCAACUAGACUAUUGUUAAUUUAAAGGGAAAAUAUGGUAGAUAAUGAUACAUAUAAGAGAUUUAGAAUUAAAUAAAAGAAAAAAACAUAUUAAUAAAAAAAAAUAGAAAAGAAAGCAAGUCUAUCUACAAUAAUAUUGAGGAAAAUUAACGAACCUUGAAAAGAAAAAAGUAGAAUAUUCUUCAACUGAAAUUUAGUAUACUAAUAUAAUAACCAUAAUAAUCUAUUGUAAUUUAACAGACUAAUACAAUAAUCAUGUACUACAAUUUAACGCACUAAUAUAAUAACCAUCUCAUGAUAGAGAUCCUCUUAAAUAUAAAACAAAACAAAAUAUAUCUUAUCGAGAGACUUGAGAAAAAAAGGGAAAAAAAUACCAAUAAAAUGUUGGCAUUGUUAAAAAAUGAUAUUUACAAAUGAAAAAUUCAAAACUCACAAAUGAAAAAUAUAAGUGUAGCUUCUCUUGCAUGAAGAAGAAAAAGACACAACAAUCACAAGUAUAGUUGAGACUGAAGAAGAGAAUAUAAAUAAUUGUGUAACACUUAGUACUAAUGAAUUAAAUAGGCAAUAAUGAUUAUUUUAGUACUUAACUUUAAGCUUACUUAAUUAGAUGUUAAAACUAUUUUAGUGCUAAUCAUGUUUAAUUAUGAAUUAAACUUUGAUUAAGGUUAAGUGAGAUUAGUUAAUGAUCUAAGCAUGCUUAUUAGGUUCUUAGGGACUAAUUAGGGUUAUGAAAACCUAAAGGACUAAUGGGCAAUUAUGGGUUUUAUUUUUGAUAACUUGAAGGACUAAAGUGCAAAAUUGGGAAAUUGGAGUUAGUGG